rnacentral:lncRNA from 1 species
UGAGAUUGUUUAUUGGGAAAACUUCAAAUACUCCAAGUGAUUUCAUACUUUCUCACUUUAGUACCCUAUAGUUUUAAGUGUAUCAAGUUGGUAUUAUGUGAUUUUGCACUUUCUCACUUUAGUAUCUUGUGAUUUCAAGUGUAUUAAGUUAGUACCCUGUUAUUUUAUUUUUGUAUCAAGUUAGUACUCUAUAGUUUCAAUUUUUUCUUUUUAUUAUCCAUUUCGGGGUAUAUAAUUUAACGAAUUAUUAAACCACAGGAUAUUAAAGUAAGAAAGUGCGAAACCACAGGAUACUAAUUUGAUACACUUGAAACUACAUGAUACUAAAGUGAGAAGGUGAGAAACUGUAGAAUACUAUUUUGAUACACUUUAAAUCAUAUGAUAUUAAAAUAAAAAAGUACGAAAUCACAGGAAUGAUAUUUGAAGUUUUCCUGGUUUAUUUUCGUGUCAAAAGUAAAGACAGGACUCGUGAGCAUGUCCAACGCUCUUCCUCACGUGUUUGGAUUUGCUACCAAGCUCGCAAGAUUAAGAGCGUGCAUCACAUCCUUUUUAUGCGUUCAAUUCUCCUGCGAACUCGCCAAAGCAGUCUAAAUUGCUGACACAAACCUCACUACACUACUACCUUUGCCUCGUGACCUCUGCAUGCACGCACGAAUUUAUUAUGACUAGCACAGUUGGUUGCACAUUUGAUGUCCUAAAAUGUCCAGCUAGUAUAGAGGACCAAAAAAAGGAAAACAAUUAGUCUAACUAAUAAGCUUAAAUGAGAAUGUAGUUGAACAAAUAUGGGUGAAGGAAUUACUUAAUUAGCUUAGAAUUGGUUUAAUGUUUGUACACAUAUAGAAAACUUGGUUUUUGUGCAACUAAUCUAAUUAUAAUUUAGAGUCUGGCUACAGUACUAUCAAUAGCAUCAAGUAUUUGGUAUUUUUAAGUUUUCUGCUAUUAAAUCUACCUCUUCGACCAUUUUCAUCUGUUAGAGCAUACUAUUCAACCAAUCACCCACACAAUUCUAAAAAACUACUAUCAUCCGAAUCGUACAUCAUUUCAUCCAUGGGCCGAAAACUUAAUAGCAUCGAUGACUUGGCGCUAUUAGUAGUAUUCUAGUUUAGUUCUCUGAUUCAUCAUAUUUCUAACUUAAAUUUUCGAAAGUACAAUUAAAGGUUCAAGAUUUAAAUGGAAUUGGAUGCCAAAAAUUAACUUGAAAAAAAAAACUGAUGUUUGUAUUAAUGUGCUAAAACUUAUUUCUCCAUUAUAUGUAGUGGUUGCAUUACAGUUGGGAAUGAUUUUAAUCUAAGUUUCACAUGCUUUGCAUUUUUGAUUUAUUUCACAUGGAAUAGUAAGUUUUACUCUACCAACAUUUUAAUUUCUGCACUAUCCUCACAUUGCAUAACAGUGUCUUAAAAUUUUAAUUUAAAUUCUAAAACUUGAACAUCCUCGCAUAUCAUAAAUCUGAUUGAAAGAGCUAAGUGAACAACAAUUGAGAACGGGAUAAGAUCGAUUGAACAAUGGUUGAACCGACCGACCGUCCCUAGAGCAAGCGGCAAAGGGUUUGGUGGUUGGUACCCGAGGUCCCAAGUUCGAAUUCUAGUUGGUUCACAUUUCUAGCUAAGUUUAUUUCUAAAUGAAAUAAACGAAGCACGCUAAAAAUAAUAAUAAUAAUAAUAAUAAUAAUGGUUGAACCGGAAAAAAUACUAAACUGUUUAGAAAGAUACAAAUUAACCUCUGAUAAUGACUAAACCGAAUCUAAUACCGUAUAAAGGAGUUCAGUUCAGAACUGACCCAAAAAUAUCAUGUGGUCCUGAUAACAAUAUAUACAACUGGAAUCGAUUUCAGACCGUUGAAAUUUAAACUGUGGAAAAUAGUAAUAAUUUUCAUGUCUUUGGUCCAGUUCGUUGAAUUCAUUGUCAUCUAAUUUGGCAUCACGCUUGCAAUAAUAAUACGCCCUGUUUGUGUUCUGCUCUCCGACUUUGAAAGGCGCGGGAAAUUGGCGCGCAUCUUCAUCGAGGAGUGGGCCAUGCUGACCGUUGAAGGGCCGCCACGUGUCACGUCUCCCACGUGGGCGGGUAUGUGAGCCCGGAUCCGAAACAACCGUUGUUUUCCGCGUGCGCGUACGAAUGCAAACGGAGCGGAUCAGAGAGCAAGACGCAUGGCUCACCUACCGUCCUGUUUUCUUGACGAAUUUUAAAAUAUUUUAUUUAAUUUAUUAUUUCGUUGGAAUGAAUUUUUUACGAAUUUUUGAUAAAUAAAAAUUAGAUGGAAUUUUUUUUUCGAUCCUUUGGUCUCGUGUUUUUUAGUGGAUUAGAAUAAGUUUAGGACGAAUUAAUUUUAUUCUUUUUUUGAAUUAAUCGAAAUGAGCAGAGACAAAAGUGUCGUGGGUUUGGAUCCAUUUGCAUUCCUACACGCGGGUCGAAUACGCACCGUUGGGUUCGAGUCGCGUCACCUGUCACCACCAAACCUCGGCGGCUUCAACAACUUUCUCUCUCCUUGAGAAGCGUCGUUUCCGCUUAUUAAUAUGACAACAAAAUGCUGUCCUAGGGAUUCCUGUGGCCUCAUUGCAGCCCAUGCCCAUGAGAGCGAUGAUGGUGAUUUAAUAUGGCAUUAUUAUUUUUUUUAUUAUAUUAUAAAGAACCAUUAUUUUUUUGGACUAAAAUACACAAAAUCUUCUGUUAAUAUCCAUUUUUCAUAUUUUCUCAUGUUAUUUAAAAAUCUAUAUUUUAUCUCUUAAAAAAUAAAAAAUGUACACUCCGGUCUCUAUCCUCAGUAUUACAUUAUUUUUUAUACCCAAAACAUCCCUGAAACUCUGAUCCUCCUCAUUUUUCUUCAUCGACUACACGUUCUCGCCCUUCUUCGCUGCCUUGCCCUCGCAAGCUCUCAGCCCAUACCCACCACGAUCUCCUCCCUACAGUCACUGAAGGGCGGUGAGGGUGCUGGAGAAGCAGGAGAGCAGGUGGAGAAAACAAAGUCGGAGCUGGGGUCUAGGGAGGCGCGGGGAAGGGUGCGGGAUGAACAGGAUUGGGGAGGAGACGAAGAAGAUGAAAGCAAUUUAGUCAUUUUGUCAUAUCGUAUCCCGUGUGAAUAUUUUUUUUAUUUUUUAAGGGGGCAACGUAUAGGUUUUUGAAUGAUAGUGACAGAUAUUGACAGGAGAAUUUUUUGUAAUUUAGCAUUUUUUUUUUAACGAAAUAAUUUCAUUGCUCAUCAGCAUCAUAACCAACCGGAAUAAGAAUAAUUCAUAUUAACUAAGAUCGAUUCAAAUUUUGAUUGACAAUGAAAGAAAUUAUACCCUUUAAACUGUGAGUGAUAUUAUUAUCGGAGCUGAUUAAGUUUUUAUAAAUGUGAUAUGUUUUUAUUAAAAGUUUUCUAAAGUUAAGAUCAGACAAUUGAAUGGUCAAAACAUGCCACCAUCAUUUUCUUUAUUUUUGUCGGUAACAAACUCUUUGUGAAAUUUCUUUGCUAAUCCCUCUACUGCAACAUCCCGUCCACUUCAUAUGAGUCCAAAAUUAAAUGUGUAACUCACGAACUAUGGUAGGUGUUCAAAAUAUCAUUUGUUUAUUGUAAAUUAAAGAAGUUUCGAAAUCAAAUGAAACUUUCAAAAACUUUUAGAAAUCACAGUAAUAUAUAUCUCUACAUGCUUUUAUCCUGAUUCCUGACUCUUUUUUUUUUAAUAGCAUCAGAUAUGCUUCAAUACCAAACUAGGCCUUAAUUAAUAACUUGGUAAUGUAUUACCAUGGAAAUGAACCUGCGUUUAUAGAUUAAAUCACAACUCAAAGUUAAAAUUGAUCUUCCAAUAGGCAUUCAUUCCACAACAAAGCAACAAUCAUCAAAAUCAAGCCAAAAGAUUAGUCCAAAAACAAUGACUAAAUUAUUCAUUAAGGGAGAAAGAAGUGCCACUGAUGGUUUGUGGCAACUUAGCCCAACAUGAACAAGAGCUUUUCAGAAAAAGCAGUACUCAUAUAGAAGAAGAGUUUUUCCUUUUUAUUUGUAAUAUGAAAGCAGGAAAAAGGAUAGUUUAUUUCAAGAACCUUAGAUUGUAUAGCAUUUGUAAGAAGUCAAUUCCCGAACCAAAGCCAUCGAUUUCCGGCGAAGCUGCGGUUCGUUCUUGACUUGCUCAUAAAAACUAUACUCCUUUGCUGCAACCAAAGAAACAAAAGAAGUGAAGAUGUUAGAAAACUGAACUAGAAAAGAUGAACUAAACUAACUUACUGAGCAGUAACAUACUAUACCAGUUUCACUGCCCAUUGUCUCCUGAGAGAGCUGCUCUGAUCCUUUCACAAGUACCAGAAACAAGAUUACGAACUGUCGAAACGGACCCGGCAGGGAGACCGGGUUCUGGACCCGAUCGAUCUGCGAUGAUCUGAAAGACGACUGUCAGAAGAGACCCGCCAUUCUCGCCGUCGCAGGCCAUGCCAUUUUCCGCGCCCGACUUCAUGUCGGGGUGUAUGGCGAAACCCGAAGGGAGGAGCGCAAUUGCGCUUGUUGGGUCUGCACCACUGAGGACCAUGUUCAAUGCAGUUGCAUCAAUAGGAGCAUAUAUCACAAAGGAGCCACUAGUGUUGUAGCAACUCUGUUGGAGUAUCAUUAUGUUGUUCUCAUCACCACUUGCCGAGCCCUGAAAUCAAGAAUCAAAUUACAUGUAUUUGCUCAUGAUACACAUCUGAGACAACAAAUUUUAUAUAUAUAUAUAUAUACAUAUAUUAAAAAUUCGUAUAAACGGUAACUAUAUAUGGAUAUGUUUGAGCUUACGCCAGUUCGGAGUAUCGAUACGCAGUUCUGUCGCCCUUGGCAAUUAGCGACCUCAGCUACUUGAAUUUCGCUUCCGUCGUAAAAGGCAUCCCACUGCAAUUUGGAGAAAACAGAUGAAAGAGUUUGGUUAAUUGUUCCAACAUAGAGUUCAAAAUUUUUCGACAACAUACGAGAAUCUUGUAAGCGAGAAGUGGCCAUAUCAUCAAAACUAAAAUAACAAACAUCUCCUUUUUGCUGUAAUAUAGAUUAUGAUAAUGUGUAUAUUCAGAUGUUUAUGUUCACAUGUGCAAAUACAUGCAUAAAACAACAGCCACAGUAGGGAAUGAUAAGAAUAACUAAUUGUUGAUAGAUUAGUUUAGGAAUUGAAGAACUGAUGAUUUCGCGGUCCCUGAAUACCUCGUGACGAGAGGUCUCGCUACGCAGGAACUCGAACACCCUUCUCAUUGGAACAGCUAACCAGAAGGAAAUGCAUGCAGAGAGAGCAACACCAGUUGGAUUAUUAGGAUCUUGAUCACCAUUAUUGUUAAUCGUUUUGCUCAUAACCUUUGCUGCCGCUUCUUCUUCGGUACCAAUCCCCGCUUCGACGGUCCACUCGUGCUCAGGCGAGCCGGAGAUGGCACCGCAAAAGCUCUUCAUCAUGUUCUCUGCUUGCUUCAGUAAGUUCUUUCCCCCAUUUGGGUCUACUGCAAUAUAGAGUUGCAGAAUACUAAAUUUUUCAUCAUGUAGAAUAAGCUCUUCUUUUAAUUUUUUGUGAGAUGAAACUUGAUAGUUGCAUUGAUGCCUUUAAAAAUAUACUAAUAACUAACAGCAACAGUUGCAAAAAGUUGAGCAUGCAUAUUGAAUAUUUCUAAGGACAAAAAUGAGAAUUUUGACUUAGAAAAGGCAUAUUUAUAUUCAAAACUCCGACUUUUUGGGUCAUCACCAUUGUACUCGAAGAUCGAAUUGUUAAUGGCCAUCACAUGUCGAUCAAUAGUUGCGAUCCACUGGCUCGCGCCAAAGGCUAGACCUGAGUUCACAAAUGGCUUGUACAUCUCAUGAACACCUCCAUCAUCCACCUCGACAUGCUCAACCCAUACAACCUGUGCCAUAAUCAUCAUUAACAUGUUAUAAAGAAUCUUAACCGAGUAUAUGUUAAAUGUAUGUGCAAGUUCAUACCUUUGAGGAACCAUCUUGCAUUGCUUGGAUUAUGCAGCCUGAUGGUCUCCUCCGGCAUGUCGUUUUGGUGUAAUCGCGACCGUCAGUGGUUAUUAUUUCAGAGUAACCGUGGCCAUCAAAAGAAACAUCGACGACGGCCCAGAGGCCUUCGCCAUGCUGUUUGCAGUACCUUAAGAACACACAUUCUCUUUUCGGCACCAAAGGAGACGGGAACUGGAACUCUGCUUUCAUCUGAUAAAUGCAUAAUGUAAGAAUCUUGUUUAACUUAUUUUUCUUUCUGAAAAGGGCUUCAUGAGAUCCAUACCAGCUGCAGAGUUUUGUCAUCACUUCCCUGAACUUCUGCAGGAAAAGCUUCGACAGUCGAGGCCGUCGAAACGAUGCUUGAAAAGAAUGAUUCAUAGCUAUUCUGCAGAUUAUCAGAAAAGCAAAGAGUUAAAAAUCCAACCUGAUGCAAAACCAAUCUAUUCUGAAACAGUACUGCACCGCACUUACAGCAUUCAUGAAGAUGUCUAUAAGUUGCCUGCAGUCAAGUGCAACCACUGCCGUCGCGCGGGUCGCCUCUGUCUUCAGUCCAUCUAUCCUUGGCCCGACCCCCCGCGAGAGAUGCUGCGCGUACUCCUCUUCAUUCAGUAUAUCAUUUGUGCCGUCGGGGCUUCGAAGCCACAGUGGCUCCACAAGCUGAGCCAUGUUUAUGAGCUCGGUCAUCGCAUCAAUUGCUAGCUGUGCUAUUGCCGGUCUUGCGCUGUCUCCUACUGUCAUACCUGGGACCCAAAAGAUUUUUUCUUAUAGGAAAUGAUUCAUGAUUCAGAUAUAAUCUUAGCAACCUUGCUGAACGGUAUGACCGUCAGAGGCUCAAAAGGUGUAUUAGACCGAAGGUUCUUAGAAUUAGCUCUGAUACUAUGUUAUUACAGAAGAAACUAUCCUCUUAUUGUACCUUGCCAAACUUCAGGUCUUCCAACACCGCCAUCCAUUGGUUGAAUCGACGGCAGCGGGGAUGAGAGCAUCUGGUACAUCACCGACGGCCCGCCAACAUAUUUUGAAGUUAUAGCUAUUACCCUCUUUAUCUAUUGAAUCCAAGGAGAAACUAGCAUCACAAGAGCUCUAAAAUUUAUGAUAAUAGAGGUGGUUGAUCAUAUUACCUAUUCUCAAAGUUUGGAUCAUAUACCAAUGUAAUCUCUCUACUUUUUUAAAUUUUUCUAUAUUUUUUUUCUAUAAUUUUGUAUGUGCAAGCAUCUAUCAUAACCAACAGGUUUCAAUACCUAAAAAUCUCUCGUGUCUCACGGAAAGAAUAAUUAGUUAUGAAAUAUUCUUACAAGUAUAAUAUUUCUUAUCUCUUAUGUGAGACAUAUGAGCUUCUCGCGCAUUAUAGAUAUAGCUGAAAUCCCUGUGAAUGUUUACAUAUCAUUUCUGUUACUUUUCUUAGGAGAGGAAUUGGUAACAGUCGGUUUAAAGAAACUGGCGUCCUGCGUUGUGACGGAGGGUUGGUUAGAUCGAGUCACAAUUAAAGCCAGUUAGUACUAUGUGUUUAUUCAUUUUAAGUAAAUUACUUCCUUUCUAACAGCUCGAGCUUUUCAGAAAUCAAGGAAAAGGUGUCACGCCUAAAAGUGGGGCAAGGACCGGACAUAAUGCUCUGGAGAUGGAGUCCAACUGGGCUAUUUAUAGUUAAAUCGGCCUACGUAGCACUGAGUGAUGGAGGUACGAGGGACACUCGUGCAAGCAAGAUUUGGAAACUUCGAAUACCGCUAAAGGUUAAAGUGUUAUGUUGGUUGGCACUCAGGAAGAGGCUCAUUACAGCUGACAACCUAAUGAAGAGAGGGUGGAUUGGAGAUACCGCCUGUGUACUGUGUGGGGCUAAUGAGAAACUAUGGACCACUUGUUCACACAGUGCGUAUUCUCCAAAUUCCUUUUAGUAAUGGGAGCGGGGGACGUUCAGGAUAGGGAUAUGGGAAAUGAUCUUAUUGUAGUCUGGGACAGAUGGAAGGGUGCAGUUGACGGCUGGACCUCCAUACACCGUCUAUCCUCUUUAGCAGCUUGCUGGUGGAUCAUUUGGAAGGACAGGAACGAUUUUAUCUUUAGACAGAUCCAACUAGAUCCUUUGCGUGCCGCCCAACGAGUAAAGCAGCUGGUGACGUUUUGGGAACAAGACAAGCAAUUCAACUAACAACUUCCCUUUUUUUUUUCUUUUUUUCUUUUUUUUUUGUCUUUUCGUAAGUCUUUCUCUCCGAGGCCCCGUUGCCUUACUCCUGUAGCCUAGUUUAUUUUUCUAAUGAAUGAAGCGGGGAGCAUGCUACCUUUUUCUCAAAAAAAAAAAAAAAAAAAAAAAAGCUCGAGCUUUCGAAAUUGUGGUUAGCGCUGACAAUCCAAUAGGUGGUAUUAGAGUCAGUGCACGAGUUCGAUUCCCACAUAGUGUAAAUUUGUGCAGGCCUUCCUUUUGAACAGUUUGAGUUUUUAGAAUUGUGGUUAAGGUUUGAAACUUAUAGUGGCUAAAGUGGUAUCGGAUCCAAAUUUUAAGAACUAAAAAUGAAAUUGAGUUUGAUACAACAUUAGAAAUAUGCACCUCUUCGCGAAGUGUGGCAUUCUCAACCCUUAGUUUGUGCUCUUCAAGGCUAAGAGCCCUUGGAUCUCCACAGCUAGGGCAAAAUGCACUACUCAAAGCCUCCUUCAAACUUGUGUUCUCUGCCUUAAGUGUCUCAUUCUCCUCUUUGAGCCUAUAAUUAUCUUGUUUCUCAUGAUGGUUCUGUGUUAUAAAACAAAACAAAAUAAAACAACAAAAAGAAUAAAAGCACACGAGAAAUGUUGUAAUUAAAAGCCAAGAAAUGCGAGAAGAAAUUUUAAUUCCUAAUCUUCUAGUCAUAUUUUAUUCUAGUCCUCCAACUUUUAACGCAUUUAUUCGUGCUUUUCAUUAGUCCUUCACGUCCUUUGCUUUUUAUAAGAAAAAUUAUUACUUGCACCAAGCGCAUUUGCACAUCCGUGCAUCACGAGUUUAUAGAUUACAAUCCAUAUCGCAUUAAUCUUAUUUCUAAUAAGAGAAAAUACCGUCAGCAAAUGAAUGAUAUGCAAAUAUAUAGGUAUAAGUAAUAAUAUUUUUCUCUAACAGUAGAAAAGGAGCGAUCGGGGACUAAAUUGAAACAGAGCGUAAAGAGCAAGUUGACGUAUAGCGCGAGGAAAGGAUUAAUCAUGUAAUAGUAUAAAAUUUACACAAACGAAAAUUAAGUGGCUAGAGGAGGCCAAAAACAACGGCUCUAACAACAGUAUUGGGGUACACUCAAAAAUAGCAAGAUAUGGAGCAUAUAUAUAUAUAUUAUAUAUAUUAGUCAACUACAUGCAUGUAGGUAGUGAGAAUAAUACUAUUUUUAGUAACAUAUGUAGUGUUUUCUCUCUUUUGACCUUUGUUUGGGUUCGCUUGUUCUGAAACCAAAACUUCACUUGUAGGGGCUCUAACCCUAAUUCCAGGCCCAAUUCUCUCCUUUGCUUCUCAUCUGGGUGAGGAUUCUCUUUGAAGAACCUAAUAAAAUAAAUAAAUAAAUAAACAAAUAAAGCUUAAAAAAUGAAAAACAAAAGAAAAAGAACAUUAAGGUCUAAAUACGUAAUGUUUGCGAUUAAUUGUUCUUUUGAAACACAAAUAUUUUGUUAUUGGGACGCACUAUUUCUCUAUCUUUGUUAUGCUCGCCUCGAUUCAGAAUGGCUUUUUAUUAUUUGAAAAACAAAGAGGUGAAAACAAGCACGUACGUAGCUAGCUACACAAUUUUUGUUUUUUUGCUGCCAAACAUAAAUAGUAAGAAAUCUACCGCGAACGUAUAUUCUUUGUAGGGAUUUUACGUACGCUUCGAGUGUUUGGAUUUGGUGAGCAGUGUGCCGAUUGUAGCGCCUCCGCUUCGAUGUGCUAUUGCUGUUUAGAUCUCCUUCUUCUUGUAGUGGCGUUUGGUUUUCGUCUUUGGGCUCGAGAUGAAGUAAAAGGUCUUGUUGAUCCUCCAUUGAAAGAGAUUGGCGGCUCUCCGACAUGUUAUUCUGUAAAUACAAUGAAAUAAAGGCAAAGACAAGUAUUUGAGAACUGUUCUUCUAAUUUUACACCUUUUUUUUUUGGACAAAAGGAGUCAAUAUUUCAAGUAGUUAAAUCAAUGCAUACACAGAAAAGAAAAAAAAAAUUAAAAGAAAAGAAGGCUAGUGAAAGUUGAUCAUCUGCAGCUUUAAGAUCUGUUUACAUGAAGAGAGUAUUGAGAGAGAACAACAAAAUCGCUUGUUUCAAUAUAAAUUUAAGAGUAAGGGGGGGAAAGGGAGAGAGAACUUUUCUCUUGAUGGCUUAUUUUUAUUCUCCUUGAAUGCUUAGAAAAAAUGGAGAGAAAAAAAAAAAAGACUAUUAGAAGCUCAUUUCUCUCUCUUCUCUCUCUCUUCUCUAUGUAUCAAAAAAAUGAAAAAUGGAGAAAAUCUUUUUGAUUGCUUCUCCUUUUAUUUCCUCUUUUCUUUUUCUUUUCUUUUUUCUGGGUUCUCCCAAUCAAAACAAAGCAUUAAUAUCCAACAAAGAAGACCAAAAAAAAUUAUAUUUAAAAAUUUAAAAUAAAAUGUAAGUUAAUUUCAUCAUAUUUCAUGAAUUUUAAAAGCAGGAGAGUAGGAUGAUAGACCUUUACACUUAUAUUCAUGCUAGAAAUUACAUAUUAUACAACCUCAAAGUGACAAACUUUGAGAGCAAGUCAAUUUAAUAAAAUAAAAAGGCUCUUAAUAUUUAUGACCCAUGAAGAAAAAGGAAGAAAAAAAUGUAAAAUAAAAAAAACUAAAAGAUAAAACAAAAAAUUAAUUUAGAAACAAAAAUUACGAGAUAAAAGCGUACCCUUCUCUAAAUCUCUGUAGAAACGCAUGCACUGAGCUCUCAGUAAACACGAUAAACUAUUUACAAAUAUCAAAAUAGAUUUGCACACUUUGAAACCUCCCUACCACCUCGACUUAUAUAUUCUCCAAACAAUCACACAUAGAAAACUGUUCGAUGGCUAUGUGGCGACGAUCGGUAGCGAAAAUGGAUACUGCGUUGUAGGAAAGUUCAUGCAUUUUGUGCGUAUCUCGCUCACUGCAACCUUUUCUUUUAAAAGAAGAUACUCUCAUCAAAAAUAUAAAAAAGAAAAUCAAUUUUAAUCUAUACACUUAGCCGUUUAUAUUUCUUAUAUGUACGCUACGUACGAAAACAAUAUCCGUAUAUCGAUCAUGCUCAAACCCUAGUUCUACUGUACAUAUACACUCUUUCCAAAUCUAAUCUUAAAACUCGCCUUGGCGUCGGAUUCAACAGUGAGAUUUGAGAAGGCAACAUUGGCUUGCUAGUCAUGAAUAAAGUUAUAGUAAUUUAUUCGGUGACUUCGCGAGAUCAUGUUCCAAAUGUUUCUCUUGGCUUAAAAUAGAGUGAGGAUUUGACUCCGGCUAAUAUGACAAAUUUUAGAGCGUACAAAAAAGUUUAAACAGCAAAUCUUGUUGAAAUUUAAGACUAUAUCUCGCUAUACUCUCUCCGCUCUUCAAAAAUAUGGAAAGUAAAUUUGAAAUUUAAAUUUACAAAUAUAAGUACCAGCCCGUAGAUUUUAAUGUACAACAAAUUAAAGAAGAGCAACGUCGUGGCAUUGAGGAGGUGGAGGAGGAGAAAGGCAAUUUAGCAAUAUAGUUAAUUAAUGAGGAUUCUUCCCUUCUUUUUUUUCUUUUUUUUUUUUGUAAGAAAAGACAAUGAGAGUAAUUGCCGAGAUUGUGUAAGGGUGAAAUUGCAUGCAUUUAUUGUGAGGAUGUGGUUUUACUACGUGUGCAUGUGCCUUCGUGUGUAAGAGAGAGAGAGAGAGAGAGAGAGAGAGGGAGAGGAGCUUUACUAACAUUUUAUUUGGAUGGAGAGAAAAGGAGAGACGAUAAGUGCGACGCCGCAGUACGUAGCGUGGUUUCUAUCCUAGAAUUACUCUAACCUUUUAUGCGUAUCCCUCUUAAAUUUUAGGACUUAGUUGCCGCCCAAAAUACUAUAAUCAGAUUAAGAGAUUUAGUUAUAUUAUAUCUUAUAUAUAGAACUAUUUCAAAUUCUAAAAUUGUCACAGAAAGAGAGAAGAAUAAAGUAUCUUCUCUCAUUUAGUUUGAAAUCUAAGAUCAGAACGGAAGAGAAAAUGAUCUUCCAUAAUGAUUUUUUUCUUAGAGAGAGAAUAAUUUCUUUUUUAAUUUUGCUAAAUUCUUUUUUUUUUGAGAGAGAUAGGUAGCACGCUACCCGCUUCGUUUAUUUCAUUUAGAAAUAAACUUAGGUGGAAAUGUGAAUCAACUAGGAUUCGAACUUGGGACUCGAGUACCAACCACCAAGCCCUUUACCAGCUUUAAGGACAGUCGGUAAUUUUGCUAAAUUCAAAGAGAAAUGUUAGAUCGUGAAAGUUCAUUUUCUUUUCUUUUCUAUUCUCUUCUCUCCAUUUCUCUCCUUCCAAAUAAAAUGUUAGUUUUGAGAUUGCCACAAUGAUGAUAAUUGAAAGAAAAAACAAUGGCCUCCAAUUGUAAGAGAAAACUUCCAAGCAACUCAGCUCGAUCUGUCUAAGAGUUAUAGAUGUUUAGGUUUUCUUAGGUAGAUAAAAUUAAUUUCGAAAAAUAUACAUGAAAUUAAUAUAAAGGUUGAAAUGCAUAUUUGCAUAUCAUUUUUCAUCUAAGGCUGCUUAAUUUGCUCCGAAAAUCAUUAAAUAAUUUCUGCAAAUAAGAAAUUAGAAACACGUAAUCUCGCUAGCUAUUUUCUUAGAACAAUAAAUCGAGAUCGAUGGACGUGAGGAUAUAUUUGCUAAGUAUUAAAAGUUACACGACAAAAUAAUUAUUUUAUAGGGGGUGCAUAUUUUUUAUAGAUUGGUGUGCAAGAAUUUUCUACACACCACAGAUCAAACCUCUCUCGUUUGAAAAUUCGGGGUCAUCUCAACCAUAAAAAGGGAUCUGACGGUUGACACAAAACUAAAUCUAAUAUACGAUGUCUCGUGUGCAUAAAAAUUUUCUGCACACAGGAUUGUAGAAAAUUUGCUUUAUUUUACGGACGCGCAUUGCUUUUUAUAGCUUAGAGGGAAAAUGGAAAGUCUUAGAGUGGAAGAAUUAAUUGAAUAGGUAACAGGAAAUCUGAAAAUAGGAAAAACAUGGAUCUGAAAGUGAUUAAUUUUGGGGUCGUAAACGGAAUUAGAAAAUUAGUUUUAAUGAUAAUUAUUCAUUUUCUAAUAAUAAAUUUCUCCUAAUUUACUUAGAAUUAGUACAAUCUAUAUGCAGUACAAAACUAUACAUUCCAUUGCAAUAUAAUUAUAAAUAAAUAUAUUUUGUUGAUUGCUACAAGUUAUCUAAAGACUAAUAUGUUAAAUUAGCUAGGAGUUUAAAUAAUUAAUUAACACUCAUCUUAAUUAUGUUCAAAUUAAUUAAUUAUUAAUAUACUUAUCGAAAGUUUGUCUUAUUUAUAAGAGAAUCUAGCUACUUUCUUUCAUGAAGCACUUAAAUCUAUCUAUAUUAUUCAUAUUAAUUAUAACAACAAUCAAACAGUAAUUAAUAUGUUGCUAGUUGUUUCUAUGAUUUGGUUUUAAUAAAUUGACAAUAUUACUCAUUUUGAAACAUUUUGGUUCAUUAACAAAACAUAGGUUGAUAUAUAAUACCAAGAACAUUAAUGUACAAUAGCAAAAAUUCUAUAAACUAAUGCAGCACAAACUCAUUUCUUAAAACACAAUAUUAUAACAUCGUUUUCAUUGAAAUUGUAUGUCAAAUUUUAAAUUUAAAAAUAGAGACUAAAAUUCUUAAGUGAGCACGUUAAUUUUGUAUAUAUAUAAAUAUUAUUUCUAGAGUGCCGACCAAGUUUUGUGAUUGGUACACAUGUUUAGUUUGUAUCUACAAGUCAAAUUAAAAUAAUAUAUAAGCACUAAUAAAAUUCAAAAAAUAAUUUUAAAUUUUGAAAAGAGAUUCCGAGUAGGAUAUAUAAUGUAAUUAUUUUUUUGAGAGAAUAUAUAAUGUAAUUAUUAGUGGAAUCGUGGAGGCAACAACAUGUAUUUUGUACAACGGUAUUAACGGCCCAAACAACGGUCACUAGAACAAACCAAGGUCAUUUAAUUUACGGUAGCAUUAGAAGUUAAUUAUUAAUUAUUAAGAUAUGGUAUAAAAUCAUGUGCAUUUUAUCGGACUUGUGAAACACUUUCUCUGCUCCGAGAAUAACAUUUAAACAAAAUUUAGAGCUAAUUAAUAUAGGCCUUAAAAGUGCACAAAAAAUUAGUUCACGAGUACUUUUCUUAACGGUUCUAUAAUCAACACUUUUGUAAAAAUUUCUGUUUGGCUAAACAUAUAUGUGUGAAGCGAUGAAUACUAAUGCUCGUGUAUCAAUAUUAACCAAAGUAUAUAUAUAUAUAUAUAUGAUUAGGGAUCUUUAAUUAUUUUGUUUUUCUAGAGCAUGAUAAAUCACCUCUUAAAUAUAAUGUUUUAUAAUAUUUUGUAUUGAAACAUAAACAAAAUCAUGGAGAUUCCUAGUGGUAAAAGGUACUAUGGGGAGGAAAAGGAUAUAUAAGAUCUUGAAUUUUAAUUACAAGAAUAGUGGAACUUAAGUUCGAACAUGAAAAACCAAGCUCCUAACUCUAUAUUGAAAAGAAAGUAUUAAAGUAAUUAAAUUUAAGUCGGCAGUAACUAAAUAUCAAUUUUUUCAGUUGCGCCAACAAAAGAAUGCACUUUCGCAAGUGAUUAAUUGGUAUCUAAAAUCUUAAAUUCAAAAUUUAGUUGUUUUAUAUUUUUAGCUAAGAAAAAAAAUGCACAUUGUGGGUCAACUCUGAUGUCAGAUACUGUUUCCUUUCUUUGUACAUAAACCUUUUUAAAUUUAUUCUUUGUAUGUAUAAAUACAUCCUCUCUCAUUAAGAGACCCUCUAACAUAGAUGUGGAACCUCACCUCAUCUCUUCUCCACUCCAAUCUAAGCAAUGGAGGAAUCAAUAAUCAACUCUUCUACAAGCAAUAGCUCUCACCACAACUACAAUGAAUUGAGCCAAAGUUUUUCUGAGGAGAGUAGCUGGACCAUGUACAUUGAAGAGUUCAUAAUGGCUUCAGAAAUGGAAAUUAGCUCCUCCAUUGAUGGAGCUCUGGAGAGCUCUUCCAUAAUCUCUGAUGCUUCAUGCAACAAAAUAAAGUUGAUGCUUAAGAAAAGAAAGAUGUGGGGGAAAUUAGAAGAUGAUGACCCUUUAGAAGACACUGCUAGUUCUCCUGUAAAUAGUCCCAAGGUGAGAAUAAAAAAAAAUAAAAAUGAACCCAUUUUUUAUUAAUUUUCUCUUAGCUUUAUGUUUUUUUUUUUUUCUUUUUUGGUUUGAUUUUUUUCUCUUUUCUACACUUGAUUUAGUAGUACUUAUUUCUGAUUCAUUUGUUGUAGGUUUGUGAUGUGAACAAGAUAAAGAAAGAUGAUAGGAGAAUGAUGUUUCAGGUGAUUAAUCUUUUGGGUGCAAAUAUAUAUGAAUAGAAGUUGGUUUAUCAUUAAUUCCCCAUUUUUUUUGCUUUGUUUUUUGUUAUACUAAAUAUGUCUCGAAUUUUAGGAUUAUAAGGUUUAAUAAUCAUAUUUUGUUUUAAGCGCUUACUUUUCUCCCAAUAUGAUUUUCAAUCAGAGCCUUCUAUUAUUUGAAACGCUUAAACAGCUCAUCUUUAUCCUUCAACAUAAACACCCAAAUUUUUCUCUUUUUUUUUUAAUAAACUGGUAUCGGAGCAAAUCUGGUAUUAGUAUAAAUCGAGGAUUUCUAACAAACCGGUAUCAAAAAAAAAAAAUGGUAUCAAUAUAAGUGGCGAAUUUCUAACAUAUUGUAAUUUAAGAUCAGGAUACUGAAUUUUUUUUUUUUUAAUAUCUUUUUGUGGAUUUUGCAGGAAGAAGAAGAAGUUGGUUGUGGGAAAGAUAUGGUAGAUGAAUUGGGUAUAGUUGGUAGCACGACAAAUGAAUGUACAGAACUGAAGAAAAUGGGACUUUGUGUGGUUCCUUUGUCACUAUUUCUUGAUCAUGUUGAAUAAAUUUUAAUUUCCAAUCAAACAUAUGGUUUCUGUGCAUGUGUGGUUUGGAUAGUUCUCUCACAUUUUUUUUCCUUUUUUUUUCUUCUUUUUUUUUGUUUUCUUUUAAGAAGGCUUAGCGUUUAUAUCAUUUAAUUGGAGUCAAAUAAUUAAUGAUUAACCCAUUUUAUGAUCAAUUGUCUAGGUUUACACUAACACACUAGAGAAAUAUAUAGUGCCUAAACUUCUAUACUAUCCAAAAAAGUUAGAGGCUUGAGCCCUAUCAUGAAAUGUACAAAGAGGUAUCAAACUUCUAAUCUCAUUGAUUGGCAACAUAAGUAACAAUUAUUAUGCAAAGUAUAUUGUAAUAUAAUAAUUAUAGGAAGGCCUAUAUGGAUUAAAGUAGUUAAGUAAACAACAUUUUUUUCUACAAUGGUUCAUAGAGAGUAUCAAUUUGCUGUUCUAUUUAAUGGUGAAUCGAUCCGUACAGUGAAAUACAAGUAAAACUGUAGAAUAGUUAAUUACAACUUUUUAAACCAUAGAUUAACAAAGUAAAAAUACACUAAACUAUAAGGGAUAAAUUGAAGCUUACAAAAGAAAUGGAGUUGUUCUCCCAAUGCUUAUACAGUGAUUAUGAUUUAUGAAUUCGGUAGCCAAUAUAGUUCGAAGGCUCGAUGCUUCAUGUGAGAUUAAAUCGAGGACUAAAGCGCAUGUCUCUAAGUUUAACAGAGCAAAUGAUGUUCGAGAUAAGGAGCUUUGUGCGAGAUUAGGAGGUCGACAAAAGAUUUUUUUUAAUUAAUUUUUCAAGAUCCAGCUGCCUCGUUUUUGUAACUUAACUCAUUUUUUUUUGGAAAAACUUCAAAAACCCCCCCUGUGGUUUCAUGCAUUCUCACUUUAUUACCCUGUGGUUUAAAACGUAUCAAUUUGCCCCCCUGUGGUUUCAUUUUUAUCUUUUCGGAAGCUUUUUCGUUAACAUUUCGUUAAAUUAUAUACAAAAAACUUCAGAUAACCAUCUAUAUUUAUCGAAUAUUCACUUUAGUAUCCUUUAAUUUUAACUUUGUCACUGAUUUAAGAAAAAAAUAAUAAUAAAAUUGAUAACAAAAAGAGAAAAACGAAACCACAGGGGGGCAAAUUGAUACGUUUUAAACCACAGGGUAAUAAAGUGAGAAUGCAUGAAACCACAGGGGGGGUUUUUGAAGUUUUUCCAAAAAAAAAUGAGUUAAGUUACAAAAACGAGGCAGCUGGAUCUUGAAAAAUUAAUUAAAAANAAAAAGAAAAAGGUAAAAAGUUAGUGGGCCGAAUUUGGAUUGGCCCAAAUAUAGUGGCCUUUUAUGAUUAGAACUGUACAAUUAAUAAUUUACUUAAAUAAAUAAAUAAAAUAAAAAUAAAACUCACCUCAGUACGUAUGCACAAUCGUGCGUGCCCGCGAAGAGUAACGGAGACAGAGGGAGAACUCCGGAGAUCUCCUCCUCCUCUCUCUCUCUCUCUCCUUCUCCCUCUCCCUCCUCUCGUCGAUCUCCAAUCGCCGAAGAAACUCUCCGUAGAUUCGAAUUCGAGCUCGAGGAAUCGGUAUCCGCAGCCAUGAUCACGGCGAACAAGCUCAAAUCUGUCGAUUUCUACAGGUUAGAUCCCCGAUCUCCCGCUUUGAAUCGUUCUUAUGGCAAAAAUGGUGUACGAAAUGUGGUUUUGGGCUUUGAUUUGUUUUGAUCUGGUAAAUUCCUUUGAUUUCUCUUUUGUUUGUGUCAAAAUGGUUCGGCAUUUGGUGUAAAUUUGUCAUUUUGAUCGCAUAGUGUUGUAGAGAACAGCAAGGAGCGGUUUUGAUGCGAGAAUUGAAGGGUUUCAUGUUGUAUUGUUGAUUUGCGCGUGAAAGCUCCUGAUUUGAGAGCGUGUACUGUGGGCAAACGUAUCCAAUUAGCCUUUGAUGUAGGUUUAAUGCAAUGGUGCGAGAAGGAAGUGUUAGUUCUAGGUUCUGUAUCACUGGGAUUUUGGUUAAAUAUGUGUGGUGGAGAUCAGUUUGCUUUCGCAACCAAAUGAAUUUUUUAUGCUUGGGGUUGUUCCAAGUUUGUAUUUUUUCGCAAGGGUUUAGUGUAGGAGUGUUAAAUAGGCUUAAUGGGUUGGCUCGUAAGCAGCUUGAACUUAACUUGAUUUCAUCUUGGGUAGAGCUUGUUCUUAUAAUAAAUAAGACUACUUGUGCGAGAAUUCUGAGGUUAAUUGCCUGGGUAGUUUUUGGUUGAACAAUUGCUAUUCUAGGGAUCUUUUGCAAAAAAAGAAAUUCCUAUUCUAGCGAUCGUGCAAAAUAUACCUAACUGGCAUAGUAGUUUUGCGCACUAUCCCAUUUCUGGUGGUGCGCUGGAAUUUAUUUUGGUAAUCAUUACUACAAUAAAUCAAGGAUGCUAGCAGUUCCAUGGGUACCCCUGGAAUAGUAGUUUUGGAACAAUCUCGUGCUUUCGAUUUUGUUGAUGGUUAAUUUUGAAUUUUAUCCUUAUGUAUUUGUUCACUGGAGAUGUUAACUUGUCCUCUAUAGCAAUCAAAUUUUGCAGGAUUACAUCCUCUUAAGAGUUACUUUUUCUCAGAAAAUAUUUUCCUCAGUUUUUGUCAGAUGCACAGCUACUUAAAAUGUAUCUCUUGGGUGCAGGAAAAUACCCAGAGAUUUGACGGAGGCAUCGAUUUCCGGUGCAGGUUUAUCUAUUGUAGCAGCACUGUCCAUGAUGUUUUUAUUUGGAAUGGUUGGUCUUUGCUUCCACAUUCUGAAGUUCGAGUGACGUUAUGGUGACAUUAAAACUGUACUGUUACCUGUCAUUAUGGAACUCAUGACUAAAGUAGUAGUUCAUUAAGGGACCUUUUCCUAGAUUCUUGACAUGUUAUGUUUCUGCGCAAUAAGAAGUUGAAUGGUGUAGUAAUAACAUGAAAUAAUUGAGUUUAGUAGAGCAUUUUAUAUUCAAAGGAUGGUUUUAUGUUUGUGAGAAGGCCAGAAGAUGAAUGAUGAAUGAACUAAAAAUUGAUGUAUGUACUUAUUGUAUUUUUCCAUUACUACAAGAAGGCGCCGCCUUUCGUUCUCUUUUAGAUCCUACUCAUUUUUGUUCGCAAUUAAUGGUUAUCAUCUUUAUUUAUUGUUCUUUUUUAUUCUUUUUCUUUUUCUCCUUUUCUUCGCAUGUAAAUUAUAUGACAAAAUAUGACCCACCCGCUUGCUUUUCUUUGUUCGAGCCCUCUGACUGAGUGUUGUAGUUGCACGUUUUACUAUUUUUAGUGAUUUGGGUUAAAUGAUUUGUUAUUAUUUUUCACCUGGCGCUUUAAAAGAUUUUUCUUGAUUAUUCUGUGGAUAACUGUCUGACUCAUUAGGAAAUUAAACAAUACUACAAUGCUACUUUGUGAUAAAUACGAUUUAGCUCAUUUUGGUUGAUGACUUGUUUUGCAGGAGCUGAAUAAUUAUUUGACAGUGAGUACGUUCACUUCUGUAGUUGUUGAUAAGAGUUCAGAUGGGGAAUUCUUACGGAUAGAUUUUAAUAUCAGGUAUAGUCAUUAGCAAUUUUCAACGUCCCUCCUAUUUUCUUUGGUAAUGUUGAUUGUGUUCUUAAAGUUGUGUUCUUCCCAUGCAUAUUGUAACUUUGAGUCUCCAAAGCAAUUGGCUACACCUCCAUACCCAUGUUGUGCCAUAUGUCUCCUUUCACACAAACAUUUAGAAAUGUAGUGGCAAAUCAGAGAGGAUUAGGAAAUAAAGAAUGGUUUCCAUUAUGUUGGUUUUUUUCCUGUUGGAUAACAAAAAUAAGCAUAUUAAUCUUGCAUAAGAUUUUCUUAAUUUUGCUGCAUGUUUAAUGAUUUAUGUAAUUGUGCAUGUUCGCUUUAUGGUGAAUGUGAUUAAAGUACCUGGAGGGAAGUUAACCAUUUUCUCCUUAAUACUUUUAUUUAGUUUGUCCUUUUCUAAAAUAUUCUUCUUUCUAUGUAGCUUUCCUGCUCUCUCAUGCGAAUUCGCAUCUGUCGAUGUGAGUGAUAUAUUGGGAACUGUAAGUUUCAACUCUUAUCCUAUAGCUGCCUUCUGGGUGAUUUUUUCUUGUUGACACUAUUGGCAAUCAUGCAGAACUUUCCCUUUAUAUAGUUGUGCUUUAACAAGUGAUAGAUGUCAUUCUAGCUAUGUCAUAAGUGUGGUCUCUCUCUCUCUCUCUCUCUCUCUCUCUCUCUCUCUCUCUCUCCAUGAACUCAACUGCCUAGAUGCAAGCAAUUCUAUUAUUACCCGGUUUUUUCUUCUUUCCUUUGCAGUGAACUUUUUUUUUAUAAUUUGUCUUUGAUCCACUUUUCAAAAUAUGCAGAACAGGUUGAAUAUUACAAAGACAGUUCGCAAGUUUUCAAUAGAUCGAAAUUUAGUGUCAACUGGAUCAGAAUUCCACUCUGGUCCUAUCCCAAAAGUCAAUAGGCAUGGAGACGAGAAUGAUGAAGAAUAUAGUGAUGGUUCAGUUUCGUUGAAUGCUAACAGUUUUGAUAGCCACUCACAUCAGUAAGCAAGCAACCCACUAUUUACCUUUUGUUCAGUAGUUUCUGACUGACCUUAUUAUACUUGCCUCUGUCUGAAAUGCUAUUCUUUUAGUUCAUUAAUUUUUAAUUUAUAAAUUAGUGAAUUUCUUCUUCUAUGAAAUUGUAAAUUCUAAUUUUAGGGCAAAAGUCUUUCUCUUUAUUAUUUCUCUAUUUUAUUAAGCAUGCAUUUGUAUUACCAUUAGCAGUUCAGCCCCUAUAUUGUUGUUAAGAUGUCUCUGGAUGUAAUUUCAGAAUCUUAUAUGGUAGUUUUUGGAGUAGAAAAAGUUUUAUAAUUGUACACCAUAGUUUUUGGAGUAGACGGACUUAACCCAGCCUUAAUCCCAAAUAAAGUGAUUAACUAACCCUAUCAUAUGAGUAAUCUUUUGCCAGUUAAAUUCACACCUAAUAAUCUUUCUCCUAAAUAUUUAGUGUCUAGUUCUUUUCUCAUAAUAUUUAGCCUUGUUCUUUUUUGACAAUUCUCCACUUAUUUUAAGAUCUUUUCGUUGCAACCUUUAAUUUCCCUGUCUUAUACAUUUGAAUGGCAAUAUCUUUUUCAAAACAGAAAAGUUAGAAACCAUAUUACAAGCUCCACUCAUAAGUGUUCAAAAUAGAAAUUCCAAGAACUGAUGUGGUUCCUGUUCAUUUAUUUUAUCUACUUGUUGAACAAGAGAGGUUGAAGUUGAGAAACCUUCUUCAAUGGAAUGCUUUCGCAUGUAUUGGCCAACCUUAUGUGGUGCAUUUAAAAUUCAUAGACUACAUUAUUUAUAGUAAGAACACUAUUCAUUGACUCACUUGAUAUGGUAGUAGCCUCGCUGCUUAGUAUGUCUGUGCAUCUUAUGUUCUUUUGAUUCUUUUCGAGUCAAAGAAUAUCCAAUUUCUUAUAGUCAUUUCAGUUUCAAUUUCGAUAGCUUAUGUUAGUUUAUUAAGUGAUCAAUUCUGUCAUACGUGUUGAUUAAUAAAUCUUUUACCAAGGAGAAUCUACAUUUAUCAUCACUUUCAUUUUCACAAACCUCUCCCUCUUGCAGGUAUUCUAUUUUAGUCGUCAACUUUUAUGCUCCUUGGUGUUAUUGGAGCAAUCGCCUGGUAAUAUUCAUUCUCAAUCUCUCAUACAGCCUAAGUACAUGUUUAUGUUUCAUUUAUUAGUUGUUUUCUUGAUUCUACCAUAAAUUUUUAAUAAUUUUAUUUAUCAAUAUUUUGUCUAUAAUGAACUCUUUGUUCGUUCCUCCUUCUAGCCUUCUAAGUUUUUGACUCUUAAGAUUGUCUUUUCAGAAACCAUCAUGGGAAAGGGCUGCUAAAAUAAUUAAAGAGAGGUACCAUUUCAUUUCUUGUUCUUUGUUCCUUGGCAUAUCCUUGAUUAUUUCUAAGCUGAUAGGACCUCUUUUUUUGGCGUUUUAUUAACAUUUCCAGAUAUGAUCCGGAUAUGGACGGCCGUAUUCUGUUGGGAAAGGUUGAUUGUACUGAAGAAGGUGAACUGUGCAGGAGGUACUCUUGAUGUUAGUUAAUACUUUGAUUUAGUGCUCUGUGAAUCCAAUACAUUGCAAAUUGGAUGCAAAGUUAAAGUCCUUACAUUCUGUUGUCUCAGUAUGUGAUUAAAUACCCUGCAUAAUUAUGCCUCAAUGCAUGUUUGUCGUGUAUGUAUAUUUCAAUAUAGGUAUCUUGUGUAUAUACGUAUAAUAUGUUUUUUUCGUAAUGUUUUACUUUGGUGUCUUAAAUCUACAGGUGUGCUCACUUUUCAUAGUUGAAUGCAUUCUAAAUCUAACUUUCAUUCGUAACAUGUUAUGUUGGUUUCUCUGCAUCCUUCACUUUCUAAAGAAUUUACAAGGAUCUUAUGUUGUGAAAUUGAGCAAAGCAAAUUACCUUCAGUUUAAUCUUCAUGGCUAAGUUUGUAUCGGCUUGAUGAGGUCGGUUUGAAUUAUUGAACUGAAGUAGGCACAUCAUAAAGGAACCAUAUGUACAGCAAAAUGGAAUAAAAGGUGGGAGUGAGAUAGCUGAGAAGAAAAGAUUAUAUCAAAAGAAUAGGAUGGAUUAUGGAGGAAAAUUGAACAGAAAAUGAAAGAUUACAGAUGUGAAUGUUGAAUCUAUUGUAAUUCUUUACUAUAUGAUAACCAGUUAUCCUUUAAAGAAAAUCACAGGCAUCACCUUUUGAGCGAAAUCUCUUGUUCGUCAUGAUAAGGUUAUAGUGAUUAGCGGCAGAAAAGCUUUAAAAAAGGCAGUACAAUUUGUCCAUUUGUAAUUUUAGAAUGAAUUUUAUUUUGAAUGUAUUUUAUUCUUGCUUUGUGUAAAUUGAAGUAACUUGGUAUACAAAAAUUUCAGGCAUCACAUCCAGGGAUACCCUUCUAUUCGCAUUUUCCGCAAAGGAACUGACAUAAAGUAAGUGCGACUAACCUUGUAGUUUCAUUUAAUGAAUCUUCAACGUGAGUACUCCAUGAGUUGGGUAUAAUAAUGGUUCAUCAGCUUUAUUUAAAAGCUUUAUAGUUGUUGCUUAAAUUAGUUUCGUGCCAAAACAAUGUGAGGUAUUAUUCUUAAUUCUAUUAGCUGCAUCAUCACACCCGCCAUUUGAUCACGAUAAAGUUAAUUUCCUGCUAUACGUUUAAUGUCUGUCUUACUAUUUGAGGGACAAGACAAUUUAUAUUUCAUUUUUCAUUAUUGAAAAUUUAUUUUGACUUUUUUAAUAGUCAUAGUCAUAGGGUCUAUUUGAUGUCUUUCAUGCUAUGUUUUCCUUGAUUUUUUUUUUUUUUGGGCAAUGAUUUUUCCCAUUUCUGCUGCUUUUCAAUUUCAGUAUCCUAAGAAGCAGAUGUUUUGUAAUACUACUUUUUGGAUCUGUAAUUUCUAUCUUAAUACCAUCUACUCAGGGAAAAUCAUGGACACCAUGAUCACGAAUCUUACUAUGGUGAGCGUGACACAGAAAGUCUAGUUGCGGUAUGGUUAUUACGAUAAAAUGUUUUCUGUUAUUAUUUUUCCAUGUAUCAUAGUCUCGAAAGAUCCACUAAACAUAUAGGUAUUCGCAUUUUCAUCUGAUCCUUUUAUUUUAUCUGCUAUAGGCAAUGGAAGCUCUGGUUGCGCCAGUCCCGAAAGAGUCUCACAAACUGGCUUUGGAGGAUCAAUCCAAUAAGACCGUUGAUUCAGCAAAACGCCCUGCACCAUUGACGAGUGGUUGCAGGAUAGAAGGCUUUGUACGUGUCAAGAAGGUAAAUUCUAUUCGGUUCCAUUGUUUAGUUUAAACUAACUAGUCGCCUAUAGGGUGCUAAAUGAAAUUUUUUAUCUUCCAGAUUCCUAUUUUAUAUCAUUCCUUUUUUUGCUGUUGACCUAAUUUUUGUUUUACCCAUCCUACUCGUGCAGGUUCCAGGAAACCUUGUGAUCUCAGCUCGCUCAGGCGCACACUCGUUUGAUCCAUCUCAGAUAAACGUUUCUCAUUUCGUCUCACAGUUUUCAUUUGGUAAAAAGUUGUCUCCACGAAUGCUGAGUGAAGUGAAGAGAUUGACACCUUAUCUUGGUAGCAGCCAUGAUAGGCUAGCCGGUCAAUCAUACAUCACUCACCAUGCCGAUGCUAACGCUAAUGUCACAGUAAGUCCCUGCAUUUUCAUCUUCUCUACCAUAAGUAAUAAUCAUGUUUUCUCCAUAAAAUGGCCAGAGAUAAUAUAACAGCAGAAAUAUGGGGCUUGAAUCUUUAUGGGUGUAGCCCUGCAAAUUUUUUUUUUUUUUUUUUUUUUUUGGAUAUAGGUAGCACGUUAUCCGCUUCGUUUAUUUCAUUUAGAAAUAAACUUAGCUGAAAAUGUGAAUAAACUAGGAUUCGAACUUGGAACCUCGGGUAUCAACCAUCAAAUCCUUUGCCACUUGCUCUAGGGACAGUCGGUCCUGCAAAACUAUUUGUUUGCAUUAUAUCCUGCAAAACCUGAAUUUUCAUAUAUGCCCUUGGAAAUCUUAAUUUUUCAAUAGUAUACCCUUAAACUUCCCCCCUUUAAAAUAUUUGUCCAAUGCAAAACUAAAAUUCCCGUAUUGUUGUAUAAUAUUAACUUUAGAGGGCUAAAUAUGAAAUUCACAUUUUACGGGGAUGAAUAUAUGUAAAGCCCGUAAUUGUCUACAAUGGCUGAUAGUUCUCAUGUGAAAUGGGAAAAAUAUAUUAGUUACUUACCUUCUAUUACACUUCCUUCAAAUUUGCAGAUCGAGCACUACCUGCAAAUAGUAAAGACUGAAAUAGUGUCGAGAAGGUCCUCUAAGGAAUAUAAAUUGCUAGAGGAAUAUGAAUACACCGCCCACAGCAGUUUGGUGCACAGUCUCUCUGUUCCAGUUGCCAAAUUCCAUUUUGAGCCCUCGCCUAUGCAGGUUGGUAUCACUUUGCGCCGCCUUGAACGAAUUUAAAGUACGCCUUCCCUUCAGCUUCUGGAGAAAUACUACUUGAGUAGAGCUAUUUGAAGAGGCGGUCAUUAUUUUUGUAUUGAAAUUUCGUCAGUAAAUUCUCAAUUGUAUCCAGAGCUAAAGCUUUUAACUUUUCAAUGCAGCAAACGAUCCAGCUAGUUUGUUUGCCAAAUGUGUGAUUUCUACUAGAUUCUGAAGCAGAGAUGUUAUUCCAAAAGCAGGUCGCAAAGGCACCCUAACUUCAUUUUCCUUUUUCAGGUCUUGGUGACUGAAGUUCCAAAAUCCUUCUCGCAUUUUAUUACGAAUGUCUGUGCUAUAAUUGGAGGCAUUUUCACGGUUUGUUGCCGAUCCCUUUAUACACGGUCUCUUCAAAUGUUUCUUUUUGUGUUCUAGUCUCAUCGAAAUCAGUUGAAUUAAAUUCUAGGUGGCGGGAAUAGUGGAUUCCAUCUUGCACAACACUCUGCGGCUUAUGAAGAAGGUUGAGCUAGGCAAGAAUCUUUAGGUCAGGAAGUGAGAUUUUCAUUAAGGUCCUCUUUUAACUUUUUCUUCUAAAAAUUGUAGGCAUUAUAUUUUUUUUCUUCUUGUGCUACUACAAUGAGUAUUACUAAUAGACCAUAUGAAGCAUUGGUUUUUGUAAUCUUAGGCCCUUAAAACUUCCUAAUAUAAAUGCCAUCUCGGGAUACUUUUUUGAGCAUUUGCUACACUUAAUGGAAGGAAAUUGAUAUUGCCAAAAUGAAAUUUGAUAUUUGUUUUAGGGUGUUGGUCUUUUUGUGUUGUUCUUUUUUUAAAUGACACUUUCGAGGAAGAAGCUCCUGCAAGGCCAAACAGGCUCUACAUCUAUAAUAAUUUAAUGCAAUACGCGAACUAUCUCUACAAUAUUGAAACAUAUUUGGUGAUCAUAAAAAUCCAAGAGAUCAUAUUUCUCUAAUAAAAAAAAUUCAAGAGAUCAUGAAACUGAGUUUCGAGAAAAUGGAAAAGAUAGUUUACUGCAGAGACAUAUAAAUGUAGAGUGUUUGUGAUGUAUGAUUAUGAAAGAUUCAUAUGUGCAGGAUCUGGAGCAAAAGUAAGAUGCUCUUUGAGAUUGAAACUUUUGUUUUCUACAAAAAUCUCAUGCUGUAUCACACAGCAUUAUUUGUUGAUAUCUCAGUUCUGGUACCUGAAGAAAUUUAAGAACCAGAUCCUAAAUUAAAUUGCUCAGAAUAUGAAAUUCAACUCAAAUCUGAAGAGAGCUUUUGAUUUAGUUUUCCACCAUUUUUUUAUUUUUUUUUCCCCUGAUCUAAGGUACCAAAAUUUUAACAGAAGUUGCUAAAAACUCGCAGAGCAAAUUAAUCUAAAACUGAUAAAAAAAAAAAAAAACUGGAACACAGAUUAUUUACAAUUUUUCCAUAAGCAUGCAUGUUUCAAAACUUAAACUUCAAAUCUUAAAAGCUUCUUAAGUUACCAAAUACAAAAUGCUGCAGAGUGCAACUAUAUAUAAACCAGGUGCAUGUAUCAGUAAAUUAUCAAAAAAAAAGAAGUGCAUCAAUAAUCCUUCAAACCCUAAAAAUAACUUUCAAUACAAAUCAACUGAUAAAUUCCUUCGAAAUUCAACGAAAUGGCAUUUAUAAUUUUGUUUUGGAUUUGCAACUACAACUACUAGAGUUUGUAAACACAAAGAUACUAAUAUCGCACGUAACCAAACUCGAAGCAUGCAACUUGAAGAUCUUCAGAAAAACCACCUUCCCUUCGAUCGCCGACGACGACGUAAAAUUCAACGACCCCGUCAGAAUGUCGAAAAGAAAGUUUCCGUUCUCGACCACCUUCACGACGUCGACGUCCACCGAACUGCGGAUCUUCUCCGUCGCCCGCGCGCCGAUCGUACCGGCGGCCACGGGCGCGACGCCGACCGACACGCCGUGGUAGAAUAUCAACGUCGUCGUGUCGUCGUAGCUGAAUCCUGCGUAGUUCCGGUUGUUUACGACGAUAUCCGCACCGAGGGUCAAGUUCAGCACGAUGGCGGGGCUGGUUCUGAGCUGGACGUUCGUGACGUCGACGGCGGUGGCGACGAUGCGCGGCUGCUUCGGCUUGAGAAGCGUGAAGUAGAGGAUUAUGGCCGUGAGGAUGAGGAGGAAGAGGAGGAGGGUUGUGGCAACGCAACACGUUUUGAGGGCUCUCUUAUUAGCCAUUUUGAUCAUAUAUAUAUAUCACAUGCAAAAUAUAUGUAUAUAUGUUCUCUAGGUUAUCUAAAAUAGAAUAGGAUGAUGAUAUAUAGAUAAUAUAUUAAGGAUUUGUAGAUGAGGAGGAAGGUUCUAUAUAUUCAUGGAAGUUUUUCUCUUUUUCUCUUUUGUGGGGAGGUUAAAUAAUGAAGGGGAGAAAAAAAAAAAGGUACAGGAGAAAGAGAGAGAGAGGGGAGGGGGUCCGGUGGAGUUUCAUUGUUGGGUUGCAUUGAAAAUUCCGUGAGUUUCGUGCUCCGAUUUUUGCUCUUUGCGUAAUUUGAUGUUGAUGUGGAGAGACGGAGAGAGAGAGAGAGAGAGAGAGAGAGAGAGAGAGAGAGAAAAUAUUUAAAGAUUUGGAGAUUUGGAGAUUUGCAUUUGUUGAUAUCUCAUGACCUUUUUUUUUUUCGGGUUUUUGUUUAUUUUUUUGGUUGCGAAUGGAUUUUGCAGUUUAAAAAAAAAAAUGCUUCCAUAUAUAUAUAUANNNNNNNAGAUUUUUAUUUUCAGCCGUUGAUUUUGAGCCACUUCGAUCACUAGGCAAAUGAUAUCGAAAAAUCGCAAAAUUUAUUUUCUAGAUACUUCAAAUGGACGAUCGGCUCCGUUAGAGUUGAUCUAGAGUAUUUGAAGUACCUAGAAAAUAAAUUUUGCGAUUUUUUGAUAUCAUUUUCCUAGUGAUCAAAGGGGCUCAAAAUCAAUAAUUUUAACGGCCGUGGUGAGCUGGUUGCAAGUUUAACGGUGUAGAAAUAUUCAAAUCACAUGAAAUUGUGAUAGAAAAUUUUUUAUACCAUAUAAAACAAGAUCAAUAACUUUGAUCUAAAAUUUUAAUGUCAUAUCAUCAAAUUUUGUAAGAUUUUUAUUUUUUCAGCCGUUGAUUUUGAGCCACUUCGAUCAUAUCGAAAAAUCGCAAAAUUUAUUUUCUAGAUACUUCAAAUACUCUAGAUCAAGUCUAAUGGAGCCGAUCGUCGAUUCGAAAGUCCGAACAUCGAAAACAACUUGGAAGCACUGAGCGCUCCGUGCUUCCAGAAGCAUACCAGACGCACUAAAUAUAAAUAUAUAUAUAUAUAUAUAUAUAUAUAUAUAUAUAUAUAUAUAUAUAUAUAUAUAUAUCUAUAUAUAUAUAUAUAUAUAUAUAUAUAUAUNGGGGGGGUGGGUGGUGUUAUAUAUAAAUCGACAAUAUUGCAAGGAAAACGUAACAGAUAUAAGGAAAAGUGAAGUGGAUUUAAUCAGAUUCCAUGAUAGUGACAACUUUGGGAGUCACUACUGUAUAUUGUGCGCAUCCAGGAGCAUUCCCUUUCCAAAAUAAAAGGAACCUCUAGUGAAGCAUCCAUUAUCAGUUAGGAGUUAAAUGAAGCACCAUACCUCACUAUGUGAUUGCAACCUCCAGAAAUAGAAUUCUAUGUUGGUUAGAGCUUAUGACUUUUAUGACGAAGUGCUCAGAAUAGUAAAAUAUCAAGCAGCAGAUUUAGUCAUGUGUGAUGAACCGCACAAGACAAAAAAGCCAAAAAAAAUUCAUGUUAAUGACAAGGAAAAGAUUGACGAAAAUAAAAAUAUAGAAGUGCCAAUCGGGAAGUUCAUCCAAAUUAGCCUUAGAAGAGUGAAAACGAGAUAAGAAAUACAAGAAUAGAUAAAUCAAGGAAAACGGAUCAAAAAGAUCAUGUAUAGUCAUGACCGCCCAUAGUGGAUUCCGGCAUGAACAUUAAACAUCCUUUCUUUAUCAAAAGCAGGGUCCAAUAGCUUUAUAGUUGCUAUCCUUGCAGACAGAAUAAGAUCUUCAUAGUGGCUAGUAAAAUAAGCAGUAAAACUACAGGAAAAAGAAAUAUAUCUAAAAAAUCAUCUAUCCUUUUCUCCCACAGGCUGAGCAUUACAUUCAUCAGGUGGGAUGCAAGUAUGGGCACAGUAGUGAUGCAAUUCUCUAUUAAGAUAGUGCCAAAAAAAAGUUAUUGAUAUCUAUGCCCCCAGCAUAGCGCUUUGCAGGCCUUGGAUCAUUGACUCUGUCUAACAAAAAUUGAGAAGACAUAAUAUCCAAAUAUUUGUGGUUCUAGUUCUCGCAUGUGAGGGGAAAAAAAAAAAAACUGAACGCCUGUAGACAAAACCUUUACUCCUAAGAGCUAUUUAAAGGGACAAGUUUAACAAACAAUCAUUUGAAGUUUUGAACAUCAGCAAAACAGAAAAUAGAAAACAUUAGCAAAUUAUCCGAUUAAUACAGCACAGGAAAGGAAGCGCAACCCAUAAAUCUUUCACCACAAGCAUUCUAUAAAACACAUGAAAAGAAUAAUCACUCACCCAUUAAUAUGUAAAAUACUUAAGUGAACUUACAAUGUUACACACAGAGAAGUACAUAAGGGAAACCAAUAUAAGUGCUACUACAAGGUAUGUCUCAUGAAGUGGUUUCGUAUUUUAUGACACCAACAAGGCGAAAGUUUCUAAUCAAACUAAUUUGCCGAACCAUAAAUAGCAAGAAUUGGAUAGUUACUCAUCGGAUUAAGUGGAACUGUUACCUACAAAAGAGCAUGAGGUGCCAAGAGCAUGAAAAAUCCCAGUGGCACAAACUAAACUAUCAGUAAUUACAUCAUUAGAAAGAAAUGAUAAUAGAAAGAAGAUAAACUAACAGCCCUAGAAGAACUAGUAAAAAAGGAGUUUGUAAGGAGAUUAUUACAAACCUUAGAAGCUCGGUGACUUUUGCCACAUCUGAAGUGCUGCACCUUCACAAGAGAGGUAACAACCUCAACUUGCCAGCUUCUAUUCAUGAAAUUACACCAGUCUAAGUCACCCAUCCAAUCAAUUUUUUCACUCAAAAAGAGAAAAGUUUACCUCUGCCUCUUUCCUGAACAGACCUGCCCUAACUAUAGAAUAUCUCCAACUAGUGCAUGCCAAUGUGAAAUAUUUUUAAAACAAAAAACUUUUCUUAUUCAUAUAUGUCACAAAGCAAUAAUAAGCCUUUCAUUCUACAGUAUCAUUCCUCUCAAGUAGUUUCUUCAUUAAAUCAUCCAACAAUGGCAACUUCCAUCUUUUCCUCAUCUUUAGAAGUGAUUGGGAGCAUAUCUAAGAAACUAUCAAGUUGGUUGAGCUCAGAAAGAUGUUCUAAGAAGAGAGAAACAGCAGCUGUAGGCGGUAUAGUGCCCUCUUUGAUAAUAUUAUUCAGCAAAUUGACGGCUUGCUGAAGUUCACCUUCGCUGCAAAACUCCUGCAAGCUAGAAUGACAAGUUACCAGAUUGGAUUGGACACAGUCCUCAGUCAUUUUUCUUAAGAUUUCUUUGGCUUUCUGAAGCUGCAUAUUUGUGCAAUAACUCUUAAAUAAAUAGGAAUAUAUGAUGCCAUCGGCUUUUACUCUGUCUUCAGGCAUACAUCGGAGUAUUUUCUCAGCUUGUUGAAAUUUCCCCAUUCGGCACAUUUUAUUUAAAAGUAUAUUGUAAGUCUUCGCACUUAGCUCUUGCCCCUUAUGUUCCAUCUCUUCCAAAAAAUAUUGAGCACGAUCAAGAUUACCAAACCUAUACAAGCUAAAAACCAACGUAGUAUAAAUAACUGAAUUCGGUUCAACACCAUGUUUUUCCAUAUCACUUAGUAGUCCUUCUGCAGCCUCAAACUUAUCCAUUUCACAAAAACCCUCUAGCAAGGUGGUGUAUGUGAUCACAUCGGGCUUAAGGCCGUGUUCCCCCAUAUCGGUAACCAGCGCCUGCGCAGCUUCGGGUUGUCCAAUCUUACAAUACCCAUGCAUCAAGGUAGUAUACAAUAUAACAUCAGGCUUAUAACCCUUGUUGGUAAUAUCCAAAAAAAGCUUCUUGGCUUCGUCCAUUUUCCCCAUUUUGCAGAAACCGCUUAUCAAUAUAUUGUACGAAACGAUAUCAAUGGACCCACAAGCUUCCAUUUUAGCAAGCAGCUCAAUGGCUUCCUCCAUUCUGCCUCCUCUACACAAUCCAUCGAGCAGCGUUCCAUACAUUGAUUUAUCGGGUAUUAGACCAUCUUCAUUCAUGCACUCCAAAAGCCUCAGCGCCUCAUCUACCUUGCCGUCUCUGCAAAGCGUGCCCAUUAUGAUAGUUUUCGUAACUUUAUUUGGUUUGGGACCAUCGUUGAACAUCUGGUGUACGAUUCCUAGCGCAUCUUCCAUCUGCUCAUUAGAGCAGAGGCCAUGGAUCAAAGCAUUGUAAGUAAUCACAUUCGGAGGGACGCCCUUCUCCGACAUCUCAGAAAAAAGCAAUCUUGCUUGUCCCAUCAUCUUCUUCCGACACAACGCAUCGAGGAAACACGUGUACGAGACGACAUCGCCCACAACACCCACCUUACUCAUUCUCCCGUAAAGAGCCUUUGCAGCAUGGACCUUGUCUUCCUUACACAGCGCUGCAAGGACGCAGUUACAAUUCACCUCGUUGGGUUCCAGCCCGAGCUGCAGCAUCUCGUGGAUGAGGGCGAGACCCCUCUCGGAGUUAGCGCAGCCGCGCGAGAGUAGGCCGAUGAGCAUGGAGAAGGUGUACCCGUCGGGGCUCCACCCCUCGGCGCGCAUCUCCUCGAGGGCGGCCAAAGCUUCGGCCUUUUUGUCCUCGUUGCAGAGGCCCUUGAUGAGGGUGUUGAAGGAGACCCGGUCGGGGCGCAACCCUCUCCGGCGCAUUUCGUCGAGCACCUGGCGGGCGAGGUCGGAGCGGCGGGACUGGGCGAAGCAGUGGGCGACGAUGUUGAGGGAGACGAAGUCGAGCGGGACGGCGGAGCGGCGGAGCGCGGAGUAGAGGGCGGCAGCGUCGUCGAAGCGGCGGGAGCGGGAGAGGGCGGAGAGGACGAGGUUGAGAGCGGAAGCGGGGGGCGCGGGGUGACGGAGGAGGAGGGAGGCAGCAGCGGAGGGGUCGCCAUGGGCGAGGUGGGAGCGCACGAGGUCGAGGAGAGGAGGAGGAGAAGGAGAAGGAGAGGGAGAGGGAGAAGGGAAGGGGACGGAGAGGGACCGGAUUGUAAUGGCGAGAAACGAAGAGGGGCGGAGUGCGAUUUGUGGUGGUAAUGGUGGUGGGUAAAGGGAGACUCUGCGGAGGGUUGAGAACAUUGUUUGUUUUUGGGGUUUGGGAAACAGGGGAGAUUGAAAGGGGAAACAAGUAGGAGGAGUGGAAUGAGAUUAAAAACCAAAGUUGAUCACCUAUUUGUUAUAUUAUCAUUUAUUUAUUUAUUCUUAAGGGCUCUUUGAAUUGCACGAAAUUUGAAGCAUACAAAAAGUAUCAUUUUUAAGUAUUUUGAAUAGUGCAGUUGAACUCUAAGCCCUUGGGGGUUAAGGGGUGGAAUAAUUCCUUAAUCCCCAUUUUAUCCCCAAAUACCCCAAAAAAUGGGUGGGGUUAGCUAACCCCAAGCUAACCCCACCUCAAAUAAAUUAUCUCGGAUUAGCUAAUCCCACCAAACUCCAACCAAACACUAUUUUCUAUUCAUAAUAACCCACUAUCUUUCUUAUCACAUAUACUCCAACUAAUCAUUAUCCUUCUUUAUCAAUCAUUAUCUUUUUAUCCCACCUACUCCAACCAAACACUAUUUUUCAUUAUUCUAGACUAACUCCAAUCCCCAACCAAACACAAAAAAACUUUAACCUCAUUUAACCCUGAACUUAACUCUAUUCCUGAAAUAGCUACUUUUUCAUUAACCCCGAACCAAACGGAGGCUAAAAAUUAUUGCUGCUCAAUGUGUAAUCUACUAAAUUUUUUCUCGAAAAUUGUAAUAUUUUGUGUAUGGUUGAAAAUCACAUUCUCUGUACAAUGCCCGAUUUCAAUGACAUUUUGUGAGAUUUGUGUGACGCAUUUUUCAAUAAUUUAAAUAGUUUUGCAAUAAUUACAAACUUCAGCUUUUAAACUCAUCUUAGAAUUUAAAGGUUGGGCCAUUUGGGGUUGAGUUUUUUUUUAUAAAAAAAAGACUUGGAUUAGUCAUCAAUUGAUUCUUCUUAAUUUCUUCCAAACUUUAUAAGGAAAGAGACAUAAAAUAUAUUUAAUUAUUUUUUGACAUUUGAUUAUUUUCUUAUACCACGUGGUUUACAUCAUUAUCAUUGAAAUUACUAUUUGACGCAUUCAAACUCCUAAACAUUGAUCAUGAUUCUAACAUCACUUAUUCUGGUUCUUUUCAACCCGAUAUCUCUUUUAUAAUGUUAAAAAACUACAACUUUAUUAUUGCAAUUAACUAAUUUCAGCAUAUGAAAAACACAUAAAUAUAUGACUUAUCAGUUAUUCAUUGUUUCAAUAAUUGCAUAUUGUGACCGUAUAUUCUAACAAAUGCCAAACUGGCUCUUAGAUCGGAUUUCUUUACUAAUUUGAAACACUGGGUGAAUUCAAAUAAAAAUUGCAAACUUUCGAUCAACACAACCAAAAUUUAAAUUUUGUUGAAUCUUUUUAAGUGUACGAAAUCAGGACAAUGAACUCUACGUAAAAUUUUCUGAAUAGACGACGAGUGGAUAAAACACAUAACUCCAAACACAUCCUUACAAAUGCCUUCCCCAUAUAUAAUCAACCAAAGAAAAAUUCUAAUAAAAGACAAAAAAAAAAAGAAAAAGAAAAAACCUUAUAAUAAGGUAAUGAAAACAUAAGAGAAUAUAACUACCAAUAACUAACUACUCCCCAUAGAUCUCAUAACACAUGUUCUCUCACCUUUCCUUUUGUGAGGCCCACUCACUCAUCUUCACCAAUCCCUAAAUUUUAGCCAAUUCCAUGAUCAAAACCCCCCUAAAAAUGGCAAAAACUCACAUUUUUAUUCCCCAACCAACCGAGUUGCUCGGCUUUGGAAUUGGUCUUUGUCCCCAACACAUACGCAGAUUAAUAAAAAAAAAAAAAAAAACACAUAUACUCAUUGUUUAUUUAUUUAUUAUUUAAUUUAAGCAUGUAAUUAAAUUACGGCCCCAACCCACCAUCUCCAACGCGGAGCCAUGAAUCGUGCGGAGCUCCAACCCUAGCUUUUAUUGGCGAGGCUACCCCUCUCCUUCCCUGCUUCUUCUUCUUCCUCCUCCUCCCUCUCCCUCCCCCCAACCUCAAUCGAUCUCUCCUGCUUCUCCUCACGGAGCUGUAUUUGGGGGCCCUUUUCGAUCGAGAAGAGGAAAAAAGGAGGGGCUUUUGAGGUUGGGGGGGAGAUUUUUGGGGGGAUUUUUGGGAGUUGGGGGUUUUGGAGAGGGGAUGUGGAGGGAUAGCGGAGCUCCGACGGAUUCGUUCUACGCUGUUCGGCCCGAGUGCGCCGAUGUCCCCAAGACCAAGUUUAAGAUCAAGGUGUGAUUUUUUUUUUCUUUUUGCACUUUUAAGCUGUUAUUUUCAUAUGAUUAGUUUUUUUAAUUUUUUUUAUUUAUUUAUUCCUCGUGUUUCUUUUUGCCACUUUUACAAGUGUUUGUUUCAUAGCAUUAGUUGUUAGCCUUGUUUUUAUUUUUAUUUAUUAUUUUUUUUUUUAGCUAUAUCUCGCAUAAUUAUGUCCGAUUAAUUUUUCAUAUUUUUCUGUUUAAAUGUAGUUAAUGAAGAUGAUUAUAUUUGUUUGUGGCACAUUUAUCAUGUUACAAUUUUUGUUUUUUCUUCUUUCAUGUAAUGCAUUUGAUCUGCAGCAUGAACUGGGUACUAAAUUAAUAGGCGCCGCUGCAUUUAGUAACUUCAAUUCAUGCUGUUCUAUGCAAAUUAGAAACUUAUUCUUCUAAACUUUCAAAGUAUUAUUUUUUUCUCCAUCUUAAGAAUUAGAAAUGGAAGGAUUUUACCUUUUUCGGGUUAUAGAAUCAUGCUUGAAUGAAGAGGGAUGCCUCGUUUAACUUUUAUUACAUGAAUACUGAUCGUGGAUAUUGUGCCCAUUUGAUGAUCUCACUAAAAUAGCAAGUGCGCUUGGAUGAAGCCUCUUCCUUUAGUCAAAACAUAAAAGUUGUGAAAUUGUAAUCUAUUUUGUUAAAGAUAAUGAAUUUGGACUGCAACUUAUGAGUCUUGAUCCAUUUUAGGAAUGUCAUAUUUGUGGAGUAUUUAUUGUCCUAUUCUCAUUACGCAGGCUGGGAAAACACUGAGCGCACGCAGAUGGCAAGCAGCAUUCAGCCCCGAAGGUCAUUUGGAUAUUGGCUCCGUCCUUGGCCGAAUACAGCGAGGAGUAUGUUGAUUCCUAUAUUCUACUUGUUUGCGAAGCAUUGAAGUUUAUCUCUAUUCGAUUAAGUUAUUCAUUAUAUACAGUUAUACAGUUAUACACAUUGUUCUAUCCACCCUUUCCAUGUUGACCACUUUUAUUUUGACACGCACUUAACCUAUUUCAACCUAUCAGCAGGCUUACUCCUUUUCUUUUUUUAUGCAUAAUAUCCUAAAAAUGUUUCCAAACAUCUGAGCUUUUGAUGAUAUGCUUACCGUACAUGGCGAUAGGCAGGCCGAUAGUGUUAUUGCAUUUCAUUGCGCUUUCCUUUUCCUUAUUUUCUGGAUUGUCGUUUGUUGUUCUACGUAAGUUUUCAUGGAAUUGUAGCUUAAAGAUUUUAAUCGCUUUCUUUCUUUUGUUAGGGUGUUCAUCCUUCAAUUAGAGGAGAGGUUUGGGAGUUUUUACUUGGCUGUUUUGAGCCUAAGAGUACCUUUGACGAGCGAGAGCAGCUGAGACAAAAGCGGAGGUAUCUCUCUUCCUAAUUCAUAGAAAAUGACACUUUUCAAUCGGAGAUAAUCAUGUUGCUUUCAUUACGCAGUAUCAUGAUCUCUCUAGGUGUUUUAUCAGUCGACUUAAAUAUACACAAAAUCCCUCGGAUAAAAUGUAUGGAAUAGUCCCUGCGUCGUCCUGCUGUUUCUACUUACUCCUUGAACUUUUUAUUUAAACACUUCAGCCUAUGAACUUUCUAAUAUAUUGCAACUUCACCCCAGACUGUUAGAGAAAAUCUAGCCACAUGAUCUUGUUUCUAUAAAAUGACCUUUCUAACCCCGCUUCAAAUAAACUGAAACAAGUCAUUUUGUAGAAGGGGGGUGAACUAUCUAUGCAAAAAUCUAUGAUGAAGUAUCUUACCAUUUUUUUUUUUCAUCCGGAAAAAUUUUAUUCUUUUCUCAUGCAGAGUGCAAUACGCGAGAUGGAAGGAAGAAUGCAAGGAAAUGGAUUCUCAUGUUGGUAGCGGCAGAAUAAUUACGGCUCCAAUUAUUACCGAAGAUGGUGAACCCAUUCAAGACCCCUUGGUUCUCCUUGAAGCCAAUCCUGACCAAGUUAACUCAAAUGAUUCUGUGAGUUCCAGCAAUGAGACAAGAGAGAACUGGGAAAGUUUUGGAGGUCAUGUACAAUUGGAUAGGCUAGUUAUUGAUUGGAAGCUUACUCUACAUCAAAUUGGUAAGCAUCAAGGCUAAAGGGUUGUUUACAUAUGAUUUUACUUGUUCGCAGUUAGAGAAUAUAAAUUUGAUAGACAGAAUAUUGCGAAUGAAAAUAAAAUUUCAACAUAGUUAAUUGGUGAACAGUUAUUACGCAUCUACUAUGCAUGCUAUUCUUUAUAUUUUGCCAGUCAAACUUUUACUCGUUUUAGACACAUUAGCAUUCAAUGGUGCAUGGCCUCAAAUUUGGGUUGAAUUUGGGUUAUAUCUUGCGAAAAUCAAGAAUCUAGCUGAUCUUUCUCUCUCUAUCUCUCUCUCUCUCUCAAUUCUUUUUCUCAUGAAAAAUUGAAUUAUGAUAGGUCUUGAUGUGCUACGUACCGACAGGACACUAGAGUUCUAUGAGAAUAAAGAAAACCUCUCAAAGCUUUGGGAUAUUCUGGCUGUUUAUGCCUGGAUUGACAAAGAUGUUGGCUACUGUCAAGGUGAGGAGAUGGUGAAUUUAGGAAAAAGUCCUACUUAAUUUAAUUUCUAGCAAGAGCUAAUAUUUAUUCUAUCACACUUAAAACAGGAAUGAGUGACCUUUGCUCCCCGAUGAUAGUGCUCCUUGAUGAUGAAGCGGAUGCCUUUUGGUGCUUUGAACGCUUGAUGCGCAGACUGGUAUACUUUCUAUCUACCUAGUUAGCUUUCUUUUUAUUUUCUUUUUAUUUUCUAUUUGUUUUUUUCAGAAUAUAUUAAUUUAAUUCUUUUGCCACCAAAUUAGGCUAGUAAAUAAUAUAUGGUGAAUUUGGUUCACUGACGCAAUGAUCUUUAAAGGGCUCUUAUCCUAAUGAUGUACUGUUUAGGGUGUCAUUAAAAGAAUUGCUUCUUUAUUAAACAUAGUUCGCGAAAAGCUUUAUUUCCAUUGAGAUCACGCAAUGAGUUAAUAAUUGCUAUAUAUCUCUCUUUUUCUGCCGUCUUUUUUUUUUCUCCCAAUGAUCCAUCAUUCAAGACAGAGUUUUUAAACCAACUUUACAUGGACUUGAGUUAAAUUUUCUCAAGUUUUUUGGCAUGUGGUUAAAAUUUUUCUAUUAAUUUCUGCAAGUUCUAUAGUAUUAUGAUGUUCACUCGUUUGUCAAAUGAGGGAAUUUUGACUCAUCUUAUGUAAAAUAUCUUUUUUUUGGCUAUUUUCCUCUUUGAUUUGCUUUUAAUCAUGUGUCAUUUGAAUUUUGAAAUUUUAAAGCGAGGAAAUUUCAGAUGCACAGAGAAAUCUGUUGGGGUGGAGAACCAACUUCAGAGCUUGGCAUCUAUUACUCAAGUUCUUGACCCAAAGCUUCAUCAGCACCUAGGUAUGUUUUUUAACACCAGCUGUUGGAUCUGAUUUGCAACUAACAGCUUUAUUUCUCUAAAUCUAGCCAACCUGAUGAGCCGAUGCAUUUCUUACUUUUUCUUCUUUUCUUAUUUUUUUGUGCAUAUUGUCUAGAAAGUUUAAAAUCAAUCACAAGUGUGGCUCUUCCAUGCCUUAGAGACAAAUGCAGCUCUCAAUAUCGGAACUUAUCAUUUUGUGUACUGUUUCAAACAUUAGAGUUUAUCAUUAUUUAGUCACUCAAUUGUACUAACAGAUGAGGUUAAAAGGAUGUGAGGAAUUUACUUCAGUGAACAACUUAAGAAUCCUCUAAUAAAUGUUAAUUGUUUUUCUUUCUUUACUAUUUUCUAUUAUUUUAUGCCACAAGGAAAAUUAGGUCAUUUGACGUUUUACAGAUAAAUGUGGAUUUUGUCAGUUUGAUUGAAACUGUUUUUGUUUAUUUUUCAAUACAGAAACACUAGGUGGAGGUGAUUAUCUCUUUGCAUUCCGUAUGUUUAUGGUGCUUUUUCGUCGAGAGUUAUCAUUUGGAGACUCCUUGUACCUUUGGGAGGUAUGAAGUUGUAAAUUGCCAUACAUCUUGCAAGAAUUCCACAUUCAUCAAUUAUUUGUUCUAAUUCAUCUUCCCCUUUUCUGUGAUGUUUAUGUUUAUCUGCAUGACAUCUCAAUAUUCGACGUCAUUUUCUACAAGCUCAUUUAUGCAGAUUUUUUUCCGAAAAGAAAAUGAGAAAUCUGCCUAUUUCUUCAUUAGGCUAUUAUCAUAUUUGAAACGUACUAUUUUGUUCUUUUCGCACCUGAUACAAGGUUCACAAAUUUAAGGAGUUACUUCAUGCUGAAAAUAUCGAGCAAAAUUAGUGCUUCUAUACAGUGUUCUAAAGAACGGACCUAGUUUGUGGUUGCCAAGGUACUGCAUAGCACAUAUGCUGUAAGAAAGUGCUUGUGGGUUCACAUAUGAUAAAAUAAGAACAGUAAAUAUAAAAGAAUAUAGGUAAUAGUGAUGAAAGAAAAUAGAUAGAAUAACCAAAUAAGCAAAUAAACAUAAAAUUUUUUAUGACCUACUUAAAUAUGUCAUAGAACAUUGUCAUGCUAUACAAAAAUAUGCUGCUAAUGAAAUAAUCAAUAAGCAAAAUAAAUUAGCCAAGUGAUGUAUGUCAAACUUGAUACUCAACUGUCAUGUCAAACUAAGCCAACUUAUAUUUGCUUAAAAUGCAUUAGUAGGUGGUUCGCUUAUCAGCUUUGUAUGUAACGCCUAUGCUACAUGCGAGUGCGGGGUAUGCAUGACGGUCAAGUGACUGAAUCUGUAUAUACAGAUGCUUGCACCACUUUUAGAGAGUGAUUGUCAUAUUGGGUUUGUACAGACUUCCAUGUUUUCUUGUCAAAUCUUUUAAUAUUUUUGCUUAUAGUGUGAUUACGUAGUAAUUAAUGCUCUGAUGCUUUAUAUCUGAACUUUAUGUACAGAUGAUGUGGGCUCUAGAAUAUGAUCCUGAUAUCUACUACAUGUAUGAAGACCCAGGAAUUAUUACUGAGAAAAAUGAGGGGUCUAAAGGCAAAGUGAAGUCAACACGCCAGCUUGGAAAAUAUGAGAGGGAGAAUAUGAAGAACGGGGCAAAGAGUUCUGACGCCCCCCUCCCUAUUUCAGUUUUUCUUGUUGCUAGUGUACUCAAGGACAAGAGUGCAAAGUUAAUGACGGAAGCACGCGGCCUGGACGAUGUUGUUAAAGUAAAUAUUUACUAAGACUAUUAACAUUAUCUUGAAGAUUUUUUAAUUUUAGUUUGCACAACUUUGACGGUAUAUAUAUGAAUUCAAUAUUGUAGAAGUAAGUUACACAAAGUAAAUUGCAUCAUGGUCGCCCAUCCUUUACAUUACUAACUCUUUCUGUUUUUUUGUUUUCUUUCCCACUAGUUCUAGCCGUGAGGCUAGUUAAUCAUCUUUCUCCCUCUUCUAGUUUAUUCUUUUCUAUGAAGGAUUUCCAAGAGGGUUGCUUCUUAAUUACAUGGCCUAAGCUUGAACAAAGAAUGAUAAAUUACUCUAGCUAGUAAUAAUGUUUCUUGACUUCAUAUAACAUGUUUGUUUUUCUUGCAGAUUUUGAAUGACAUAUCUGGAACCUUAGAUGCAAAAAAAGCUUGCAUUGGUGCCAUGAAACUUCAUAAGAAGUACCUAAAAAAAGUAAGUCUUGAUUUCGCUUCUCAUGAGAUUUGAUCAAGUUUUUUUCUAUGUUUGUUAUAUCAAUUGGCUUUAUUUUUUCAAUUGUCUUCGGUGUAGAAGAUAGCAAAAACAUAAAAAUUGGCUGUCAGAGACAUCUUAUUGUUCAAAUUUUCUAUAGCCAAUUGAUCUGCCAAUUAUCUAUCCUUUUGAGACAUUUCAAGUUUCAAAUUUUUUGAUGAUUUUCUUUGGAAAAUAAAAUGGUAGUAGUAUACGUAUAAAAAAAGUGUGUCGUUUGAAAAUCCUAUGAAAUCGUUGAUUUUCAUGUAAGGACAUUUAGACUUUUAGUUAUUGAUAUUGUAUAGCUUUAUAAUGGGGAAGUUGUUUCGGAUUUUUUUUUUCAGAGAAUAGAAAAACUUUUCUGCUUAUUUCUGGCUUGUUGGUGCCUGUUACCAUAUUAUGUGGUGGAACAGAGCUUAUGAAUACAUAGUAGUAACCUUAUUAUUUAAAGUUUACUUAUUAGUUUUGUACUUUACUAUUUCAUUUCUAAAAAGGUAUUAUCAUAAAGCAAAUUAUGUUGGCUACAUUGUUAUUCGAGUCAGACAUAUCAGUAUUAUUUUGUAUCAUCAAUUAUAAUUUUAGAGAAAGAAAAGUAUUUUAAAUUUGUUAGAAACUAGCAUAAAUUUUUCCUUUCUAAUAUAAUGUUUUGGAAAAAGAAACAUCUUAUAAAUUUACUGUCAAGAGAUUUUCUUUGCUUAUUGUAAACAAAUAUUUUUUUUUGUUGCCCUUUCAUAAUGUUUUGUCUGAAUAUAUUGACGUUGCGACUUAUGCUAUUAUUUUUUGCACAUGCAGGCCAAGAAGCCCUAGUAUUCUAUUGUUGUUUCGCAAUAUUAAUCGAUCUACUAUCAGUGGAAUAAAAAAUGCAUGCUCAUUUGCUCGACGAUUUUCCCUGAAGGUGUUUCCGUGUAUACGUCCAUGUAUUUCGCGUGGAUCAUACUUGUUGUUGAGUGCACAAUUGUAUGAUUCUUAUCAAUAUUUGCCAAUAUUCAUAUUUGUUAUAUUCAUUCUAUAUAAAGCGAUUGAACAGUCAUGAUGACAUUAAAUACUUGAAAAGUAAUGUAUUAUUAAACACUCCUUAUUUUCAAUAAGAGUUGAAAAUAUAUUGUGAAUCUUUUCUAUUUUCUUCGCACUUUUCUGUAUGUUUUUUGCUCUUCUGCAAUAGAUAUUUUUAGAAUUUCUUUGUGAGUUUGGUUUGUUUUCAUAAAUCUUAUCAAAUAACUCUUUUAAGUUCCAAAUAUUGUUAAAAAAUUGUAACUCGGAGCUUGUGCUUUACGGUCUAAAGACUCAAUUUUUGCUUCACAUGGUAUUUGAAGUUCAUAUAGUUGAUAUUUUCUUUUAAAUAAUAUACUAUGCUAUCAAAAAAGCUGCUGCAAAAUUGUAAGCCAAAAAUUUUGUAGCCUCUCAUAUUCAAAAGUUAAUGCUAAGAUAUUGUUGUUCUAAAAUUACCUGAAGAUUUGAUAGUUAUCAACGACCAUAUUCCAAUAAUAUGUACUAAAAAUUUUAGUGCAUAGCUCACUUGCAAAAUCUUAAUAUUAUAAUUUGGUCCCUACACUAGUGCUCUUCAUCUCUACCCUCUAUAUAUAUUCUCUACUCAAGCACUUUUAACUCUUUAACUUUCAUGUGUAUAUGUAAAAUACUUUAGUUCCUAACAAUGAAAAGAGAUAAGCUAUCCUGGUAUACACCAUUCACACCAUGUGAAUAUUAAAUCAUAAACCAAUCGCAAACUAAUGUAUUGAAUUGUUAAGGCCACAUUUAAACUCAUUUUAGCAAUUUUAUACAAGUUGAAUAAAUUAUUUACCUUGUGACAGGAAACUCAAAUUCAUCCCUUUUUCACAGUUAAAAGCUCUAAAUUUUUCAUCUGCCAAGUGUUUCUGUUAAUUUCAAAGAGAUAAGCUAUCCUGGUAUGCACUGGCAGAAAUUAGAGCAGGACUAGAAGAUCAGAUAUCUAAUUUAAGAAUUUUAUUCUGAAUCAGAGCUUAGAGAGUCUCAGUUUACAAUAAUAUCAAAGCCCAAAGUGGAGAGGACUAUUCCUGCAUAUUAUAAUAACCUUCAAAGAUAUGCAUAUUUACUCUGUAUUCUUCCGAAAAUAAAGAUCUGCAUAAAUUGGCAGUUGCCUUAAAUUCUUAAUUAUCAUGGUCUAAUUAAUAGUAACAUAUUUAUAGAAAAGGCAGUUUAACUAAACUCAUAGCUGAUGCUCAAACAAAUUGCUGAUCAAAUCCUAAAUGUAUAUACAAACUGGUGUAUAUAGGGAGCAAAUACAUUGUGAUUUUACAUGGCAUUUGAUACAAACGCACAAUUUUGCAGGUUGUACAAGUAAACAAUUAUAACACAUUUGAGUAUAAUAAUAUGCAAAAAUCAUGAGUAAACCUUACAAAUUAAAUUUGAAGAACACAACAACAAGUCUAAUAUCUAUAAACACAUCAUCUUUCCCCGCUUUAAAACCGCUUUUUUUUUAUCUUCACAAGUAAUUCAUAAUCGACGCAAAAACAAGCACUACGGCAAAGACUACUCGCAGAAGUCCGGCGGCGGCGACGGUCGGUCGGUCUCCACCGCCCCUCGGUAUCUCGUCGGGGAGCGCACACUCCUCGCCGUCGAAGUAGAGCCUCGUCGGAAACCCAGCGCCGCCCAAAAUGUCGAUUUUCGGCGUGUGCUUCUUCGAGAACGAAAGAACGGACUGCUGCUUCCCGGGAACUCUCGGAUCGACCGCCGGGUCCUUGCCGUCCGUCUCGGGCACCAAAUAGUUCAAGCCCUCGAGUCCUUGGAAGAAGAGUGUGUUGUUGAUGUCUUUUAGCUUGGUUCCGUUGAACGAGUAUAUGUUCUCGUAGCCGAGAUAGGCGUCGUCGUCCAUCCGGACCGCCGCGAACCAGUUCUUGAACGUGUAAUCCGCCCAGUUGAACAAGGUGAUCCUCGCGCUCCAUCCGCUCCGGUAGUUGGAUAGAACGUGCCAGUUUAUGCUCAUGCCGCAGUUGUCGGGGCAAGGGAGCGGGCUCGGGACGUCGCGGUGCUUGAUCUUGGCCCAGGCCUUGGCCUUGGCGGUGCGGUUCGCGAACGGAACUAGGAGGGCCUCCGACGGAAGGAGCAGCGCCCGCGCGUCGGGGUCGCAGGCGGCCGGAUCAGGGCAACCGCAGGCGCAGGUGCUGCAGGGCACGGCGGAGUCGUUGUAGUACGCGGAGAAGGACACGCAGCACCGCGAGGCCUUCUUCUUCGGCCGGGUGAUGUUGCAAGCCACCUGCCAGCUGGCGACCGCGGUGGUCUCCGACAUGAGGCCGCUCGGGUCCGGGAACUCCAUCGGGCUGACCCUGAUGGGGGGGCCGCAGACAUACUGCGGGUUGAGGUAGCCGUUGAUCUUCCAGUUCUGCGGGGGAUACAGCGCGGUGCGGUUGAGGUCCGGCGGAAGCUUAUACACCUGGAGCUGGAAUAUGGCCCUGGACAUGCUCGGGUCCAUCAUGUGGGGAAGGAGAGUGCCGUUCUUGCAGCAGAAGGGCAGGUUCGCGAUGUCGUUGUCCUUGGCUCUAUCCGGCGGGAGGUCGACGAUGAUCGGCUUCUUCUCGCAGCUCAUGACGGGGCUGAAGUCGAAGUCUUUGUAGUAGUUCGCGGCCUCGCCGUAUAUGCAAGACGAGGAGUCUUUCUUGAGAGUGUAGGCCCCUCUCAUCUUGUAGAUGAAUUCUCCUCUCUUCCACUCCCAGGUGAGGUUCCAGUUGUCCAGGCGCCCGAGGGGGCUCCAGUUGUCGAUCGUCACCUACAAAAUUCGACAUUAGAGUAGUUGGUGAGCACGAUCUUCUCGUUGCGAAAAACAAUUCAGAGAAUUAGUUACGCUAAAGUUGAGAAUUGAAUGAAAAUAUUUGGAAAAUGUUAUGCAUGAGACCCGCUGGUUCGACUACAACCUUAGUCAGCGGUAAUGCCUCGGUCCCCUUGUCUUCCCUUACCAUCCCAACACGGACUUACCUCAACAUUCCAAUACUGACUUACCUCUUGACCCGUUUAAUAGGAAAUACAGAUGUCAUUACGGACCUGAGCGAGAUAGCUGCUUCCGUAGGACUGGAGCACGUCGUAGGCGAUGGUGAGGUCGCCUUUCUGCCGCGGGAGGAACCGCGUGCUGUUCGCCUUCUUGUGCUUAAACUUCGGAUCCUUCACGCAGCACACAUACAUCUGGCUGCCUAACAAUCGAAUGAAAGAUAAAGAUUAAAGCAGAUCAAAGCCAUACAAUGUUUCCAUUAAGUUUCACGUCUUCUGACUUGUAAAUGUCGAAUCGUUGACGUUAAUUAUUAAUUCUAAAAAUUCGAGUUAUUAAAAAUAUUCAAUGCCUACAAGUCUCGAUUGUGACUCGGCCCAAUCAAUCGCACGCCAUUUCAAACAUGAUUCGACACAAUUUGACCUUCCGGCAUAGAGCAGGAUAAUAGUCUAGCUUAGCCAAUUAUAGAGGCUCACCCUUCUUGGUUGGAGCAGGGCAUUUGAACCCCUCAUUCUGCAGCUUGAUCGUCCUGGGCAUCGGGACCCCGGGCGGCUUCACCCCGAACUGCGUACCCGUCAGGUCGAUCUGCACCUGGAUCUGCGUCAUGUCGCCCGCAGUGUCGAUCGCGUUCAUCAGGUCUGUCUGCGGGAACCCCGACAGGGACGUCCCGUUCCCCACGUGGGCCGGGAAGUCGGUGCCUUCCGUCACGACCGCCCCGCCCGCCGACACCAGUAUCUCGUCGUGCUGGAACCCGAUGAAGAUCUUCCACGCCUUCAGAUCCUCGCUCAUCGUGUUCAGCACCGUCACCUGCGACCUGAACGCGUACGCCUGCGCCGACGCGUUCUUCACGUGCGGGUACUCCUUCUCGCGCUCGAUGAACGUGUACGUCAGGAACACGCCGAUGCAGCUGUCCUGUGGCGACGCCUUCGGCUUCUCUUCUUUCACGCCGGUACCGAUAUCGUAGUCCUGUGCUCUCACGCCGGUGGAGACGACGAAUGAUGCCGCGAAGAGGGCGAGUAGGGCCGCGGAGAGCCGGGCUCUCGGCGGCGAGGGGGCCCACAUUGGUGGUGGGUGGGUGUGUGGGGGUCGGCUCUUCACCAGAGGGAGAGGUAGAGCUAGAGCUUCUCAAGGGGAAAAGGGGGGGAAUUUUGUAUACCUUGAAGGGAAUUGGGAUUUUCCAAUGGAGGAGAACGAGGGAGUUUCAGCUGGAUUUGCGGUGGGAUUUUUUUGCCUUUUUUUUUUUUUCUAAAAUAAGGGGGAAACAAAAUGGGGAGAGAGAGACCAGGUCAGCUUCAAUCUCCUCCGUGGAGUUUGCAGCGGAAGUGGCGGGAAAAAGGAGGAGGGGGCCAACGGUCACCAAUUUUAAACAGCCCCUUUUAAUUUAUAUAUAAGAACCCUUUUUAAUCUUCUGUUUUUUUUUUUCCCUCUUUAUACCCGUUUGAUAUUGAGGCUUUUUCAAAUGCUAAUAUCUAAAAUAGAGCCGGAACAAAAAAAUAUAAAAAUAUGCUUUCAUAUUUUUAAGUUAGAUCGUAAAAAAUAUAUCGUAAUCAACUCACGUAACGCAAUAUUAUAUACCAUAGCACAUACAAUAUUUUUUAUUAUAUUUAAAAUUUUUUAGAUUGAUUAAUUUCAUUAAGAAUUAAAAUUUUUUGAAAAAAAAAGAAGAAAUCCAAACAAGUUGAACAUCAGCAUAAUUGUACUUGACCAUCCAAAUUUGUUUUUCUUUAAUAUGAAUAUGAAUAUUAUCUAGAUUCGAGUCCAAAGUAAUCUCUCGAUGCCAAAUUUCUUACUAAAAAAUCGUUGAUCUAGCGUCCGUGUAUUAUUAUUUUAUUAACACACUCAAACUAACAAAAACAUUACACUUUUUUUUUAUUUAUUUUUUUGGCCCAACUUGUUGAACCCAGGAUCUCAAGGUCCAUUUGUACCAAUCUGGGAACAAUUGAUUUGACACAUAAAAAGUUGAAAAUGGCAUCAAAGAUGUAAAUGCAAAGUAGUAAAGGCAUAAACUUGCAAAAAGGCCAACGGUUUUUCAAACAGGGCGCGACAAUUUUUUCGCCGGCCAACUUUUUUAACGACUCUCCCAAUGCUUUCUAAAGCAUAUAUAAAACCUUCUCUCUCUCUCUCUCUCUCUCUCUCUCUCUCUCUCUCUCUCUCUCUCUCUCUCUCUCUAAAGCAGGAUGAACGACCUACUCAAGGUAAUUAAUAAUCUUCUUCGUCUUCUUCAACUCUCUCUCUCUCUCUCUCUCUCUCUCUCUCUCUCUCUCUCUCUAACUCUAGUGUUCUUUUGAUCUAAAAGUUCCAUUUUUUCACUUUUAAGUACCGAGAACAAAUGAUUAAAACACUAUUCUCUAGUAGUUAAUUUAAGUUUGUGGAGACAAACGAUUGUUUCACUUUAAAUUUAUCAUCCUGUUUAAUUCAAGUCAUUGUCUUGGACUUAGCAAAAAGAUUUUGAUGCCAGUUUACUGGGGUUUUCUUAGAAAUGUUCAGUUGCACAACCUUAUCUAAUUUUUUUGAAUAAACCUGAAGUCAAAAAGGAUGCGACAUGUAACAUGUUUAAAAAAUAUUGAAUUUUUAGAGAAUUUAGAAUCAAAACAAAAAAAAAUGUUGCCUUUUUUAAAGAAAAGGAGAGAACGGUUAGAAUACAAUUAGACGAAAUUUCAACACAUAGUUUUUGUACAGUGAAAAUUUUACAUUUCAUUGCAGGGCUCCAUUGAAAUGGGAAAGGUUAAGUCGCCGAGGAAGAGGGAUAUUGAAUCAGGAGCUGAUAAUUCAAAUGGCAAAUCAGAUUAUGGACUGGAAGAUUUCUUUGAACAGGUAAAUUGUAGUUACAGUCUGACCAUUUUCAGAAAAAAUAAAAAUAAAAAAAACAGUCUGAACCAAAUCAUCCCCUCAUAAUCUGUAACAUGCUCGCAAGAUUUCCUACCUUUCACUCUCAAUUUGAACUUUUGAUAAGUUUUUAAUCAAGAGUUUUGAAUUUUAAUGAUGUUUUGUUUCUAUACUUAUGCCUCUUGAAGUUUCUAAUACCGAAAUCAUCAAAUGUGUGCGAAAGGGAUAUACUAUUCAUUCACUUUUGCGCGUUUGUUCUGUUUCUUUUCUUUUCGCUCCAUUUUGUUAUGGAACUGGUAACCUUUUCUUAAAUUAGGUAAGAGAGAUUGAGAAGUUGAUGGAGCAGCAAUCUAAGCAUCUUCAGAAGCUUCAGGUACUCAAAUGCAUCAAUUACACUCAAAAACAUGUAAUCUCAAAGGCUUUAAAAUACACUUUUGUCAAUGCAAACCGCAUAAUAUAUGAUUUGUAUAUAAUACAAUGUUCAAUAAUCAUUGUGAGUUCCACAGGAAGCCAAUGAGGAAUCUAAAUCGGUCACGAAAGCUUCGGCAAUGAAAGGUGGAAUUCUAUUUUGUCACAAAUUUAUUUAUACGAUGAAUAUCGGUUAACUGUCGAGAGAUAUGUUUCAGCAAUCAAGCAGCGUAUGGAGAAAGACAUCGAUGGAGUAGGAAGAAUCGCACGUACCAUGAAAACGAAGUUAGAAAAAAUGGACAUAGAUGUAACAAUCUUUUCAUAUAUCUUAUUUAUGAAGUUCAUUUUGGGUAUGUUUCUUUCAUUUUACACUAUUCACUCUCUUCGCCUUCUCUAGAACCUAAAAAAUCGCCAAAAACCGGGCUGUGAAAAGGGUACCAGUGUGGAUCGCUCGAGGAUGUCUAUGACUAUGUAAGCCUUUCAUUGUAUCAAAAAGUUUUCCACUAAAAAUAAGUCUCUGUUUAACCUGAGCGCUUUUAUAUCGUAAUUUGUAUUGUUACAGAGCCUUGAAAAAGAAAUUGAAGGAUAAAAUGAAUGACUUCCAGGUACUGUAUCUUCCGCAUACACAUAAGAGAACUAUAUAACAUACUAUAAAUAAUAUACGCGAUAUGUAGUAUACAUAUUUACCUAUUUAUUUUUGAAUAUGUAUAUUACAGAAUCUCAGGCAAGUUAUCCAAGAUGAAUACAGAGAAACUGUCGAAAGGCGGGUGUUCACAGGUUUAGAUCUUUAUCGCGAGUUGCAGUUUUAGCUAAGGUUUCAUUGAAAAAUUAACAUUUCGAAAUUUUCCUAUUAUUUGAUGUCUGAAAGUUUUGAACUUGAACAGUUACGGGAUCUCGGCCUACCGAGGAGGUGAGCUUUGUAUUUUAAAUUCAUUUGUUGUAAUCUUACUCUUUUACUUCAUCAAACCAAAGAGAUUGAACAUAUGUGCAGAUGAUUGACCACCUGAUUGAGACCGGAAACAGCGAGCAAAUAUUUCAGAAGGCGAUUCAGGAAAUGGGACGCGGGCAGGUCUGUCUAGCUUAUAUUCGCGGGAAAUUUUCAUUAUCGAGUGCUACUUAAUGUGUCUAAGCAAGUAUAUUCUGAAAAACAAAGUAGUAUUUUCGUUACAGAGUCGAUAUGUUCUUCACACAACACAUGUUGGUAUCUUUGCUUGAUGAAUUCCAAUCACACACAUGCAGAGGCUACUUCACAAAAUCGAGUUUGCUUACGUCUAAUUCUGAACUUGUGACUUGUUAAUCAUGUUCGAAAAGGUUAUUGCUACUGUAGAAGAGAUUCAAGAAAGGCAUGAUGCGGUCAUGGAGAUCGAGAAGAGGCUACAUGAGUUGCAUCAGGUAGCUAGCAUUUUGUUGGUAGUCACAUACACUUUUCCGACUCUUCUUAUUUGUUUCUUUUUUCUUAAAUUAAAUUUUGUGAUUCAGGUUUUCAUGGACAUGGCUGUACUAGUUGAGGCGCAAGGAGAGAUACUCGACAACAUCGAAUGUCAGGUUUGUUAUUGCACUUUUACUGUUUAUAGUAGUACCUAAAAUGCCGAAUCGAAGGUCAUUUUUAAGUAGAACAUAAUCUAUAACAUACAUCUAGCUGUUGCAAUGACUACCAUGUAUAUUCUUAGUGCUUUUUGGCUCUUCUCAAAAGCAAAAGUGCGGCAUCUGGUCAACAGAAAGCCCUAGAUAUUGCAGCUAGAGCGGGAAGUAGAAACAAGCUUCUGGGCUCGAACAAGAAAAUUUGUCUUCAUUCAUGAACUCGUCAUGUUACUGUUGCAUUUUCAGGUUUCGAAUGCUGUAAACCAUGUACAAUCGGGAACCGACGCACUCCGCACAGCGAAGAGCCUCCAGAAGAAAUCAAGAAAGUGCAUGAUUAUUGCAAUUAUCAUCCUCCUGAUAAUCGCUGCGAUCAUUGCGCUCUCGAUAUGGAAGCCGUGGAAUCGGCAGAGACAGUAACGCAACUUGAUACUGCUUUGUAUUGAACUAAUAUCUUCGAGAAAUAGAGUUAAUUUCUGUUUUUCUCGCCAAAUUGUAAGCUUGAGUGUUACUGAUGCAUGAAAAUUAAAGAGCAUGUAAUGCUCAUCUCCUUGUAAAAUAACUUAAAAAUCUUAACUCGUACUUUUCGCAGAAUAAUGAACCAGAAAAAUAAAUUGUGUUUUAUUGUAGAAAAGGUCUUUUUGGAUUGAACACUUGUUAAUCUCGGGGUCGUGUUCUAGUGAAUCUCAUAUAACUAGGAAAAUGACACUCUAAAAGUAAAAAAAACCAUCAAAUUAUCAUAUGAGCUUACCUCUUGGAACAUGUUUACUCAAUCUAAAAACCAUAAUAAAUCAAGUUUAUAACAUUAAACAUUUUCUCCUUCAAUUAUCAAAUAGCAACAUAAAUAAAGCAUUUGAGUUUCAAUUGAUCUACCCCAUCAAUCAGAGGCUCAACAUCAAAAACAAUUAGCUCAAUCCCCCCCAAUUGGAGUUAUCAAUCACUAUUACACCAUGUUAUUGAUAGCGAGUAACAUAUGUAUGUACUACUUAAAAACUACUGCAGAAGAGCUUUUCGCGGAAGCUGCAUCUCACAUCCUGGACUUGGCAAUGACCGCAGCGCCGCCACCGUCACUUACGCCGCCGGCUCCGGACCUCGUCCAUGUCUCCUUGAAUUGCUCCUCGGUUACCCCUGCAAACCAAAAAUAACGUAGAAAAUCAUCAUGUGUUUUACAGCGAAAACGCCAACUUACGAAAAUUCUGUCACUCAAAUGAGCAUAAUUUUAAGGUGUUUGUAGAAAUGCCACUAGCCCAACAACACCUUUGCCCAUGGCGGCAGUCGACGAGAUCCCGCCCUGCACCGUCUUCAGCACCCGGUCGUAGUAAUUCGCCCCCGACCACUUCUGGUGCGCCAGCGUCUCCACCCCGUUGCUCCGCUCCUCCCUCUGUAUCCUCUCGACGUACGCCAGCAUCCCCCGCCCGGCGUAGUCCCUCGCGAACGUGUCCGCCGCCAGCGCAUCUGCGUGGAACCCGGCCAACGUGAUGAACUGCCAGCAGUAGCCCAGUUUCGCUAUCUUCGGUAUGAAGUCCCUCAUCUCCUCGUCGGUCAUCCCCGCGGCGUCCCAGUUGAACGACGGCGACAAAUUGUAGGCCAGCAUCAUCUCCGGCACUGCCGACCGCACUCCGUCAGCGAACGCCGUGCACUCUGUUAGGUCCGGACUCGACGUCUCCAUCCAUAUCACGUCCGCGUGCGGUGCAAACGCCCUCCCCCGCACCACCGCGGCCGCCACCGAUCCUUUGAACCUGUAGAACCCCUCGCGGGUUCUCGGCAGGUCACAGUCCCAGAAGACGUUCUUCACGCCGAGCCUCUCGGCGAUCUCUCUUCCUUGCUUGAUCGACAAGCACUUGUCGAAGCUCGAGUAGUUGCUCCACUCGUUCAGCUUUCGCAGUUUCUCGUCGUUGCUUACGUGAUUCACGGCGAUGAUCGCGUUUUUCACGCAGUCGGAGAAGGUUUUGAGCUGAGCCGUCGCGAGCCACUCGUCCUCGAUGGCUUGCAGCUCGGCGCCGUUCUUUCCGAAGGCCGUGGCUUCGGCCAGCAAUGCAGCCAGGCUCUGGCCUUUGAGCUGUGGAUUCGUUGCACCGAGAAUGAAUUGGUGGUCGCGGGAGUCGACGUUGCUCUGGAUCAACGUGGCUGUGACGGCGUCGAUGCGGGCAAUGAGGACGGUCUCGACGCCCAUGACGUCGAACUGGAGCCGCGCGGCGACGAGGCGGUUGAUGUGCUCGGAGACGGGCACGAGGACUUUGCCGGCCAUGUGGCCGCAUUUCUUGGUCACUGAAGAUUGGUCUUCUAUGUGUACACCGGCAGCCCCGCGCUCGACGAAAAGUUUGCAGAGCUUGACGGUGGCGGUGGCGCCGCCGAAGCCAGUGUCACCGUCAGCGAUGAUCGGCUUCAGGUAGUCGAUAUAGGGUGUGCGGGCGCGCUCGUCGCGGCUCAUGCUCAUCCUGGCCUCCCGCUGCUUCCGGUCGUGAUAGAGCUGCGCGAAGAAGAGGUGCUCGACCUGUAUGAAUAUACAAAUAUUAAAAAUACCGUUUUUUAAUAGCUUAAACUUUUUAGUACGUGACAGUGGUUUGUUAUGAUUAUAUAACAGCUUAAACUUUUGGAGAAUUUGUACUGACCUUGUUGGGGACGGUGUCGUAGGGGUAGUCGGCGAGGUCGGGGCCGGGCUCAUUGGUGGUGGUGUGGGUGGAGGAGCACUGCCAGCCGGAGACGUAGAUUGUGUCGAGAUGUUUGGCCAUCAUGGUCACCUGUGAUAUCCAAAAGAUCGAUCUAUUAAAAUACGAGCCCAUUCAUGCGUACGAUGUAUAUGAAAAACAUAUAAAAUUAAUAAGUAAAGUAGAAAAUAAUAGUUUACUCUAUUACAUAUUGAAGGUGGUGAUUGAACUCACGGUCUCACAGAAUUACUAGAUAUUGAAGGUAGGGAUUAGACCUACGACUUGGCUCUGAUACUCAAAAGAUCGAUCUACUAGAAAACAAGCCUUAUAUAUGAACAACCUGGACCGGGUCGAGAGCGCCGAACGUGCGCGAGGCCGUGCCGGCCGCCUGGUGGUUCUUCAGCGUCCGCCACAGCUUCCGCGCUAGCCCGUUGGACGCGUACGACUGCCGGAGGGUCCCGCGGAGUGACACCACGUCCCUCGCGGUGUACGGCCGCCGCGUCAGCUUGAACCGCUCCGAGUUCCACCAUGCCUGCACCUCCGCCGCCUCCGCCUCGAACCGGGCUUCCUCCUCCAUUAUCUGCGUAUAUGCAGUAUGAGUAAUCCGACUGCUCACAUCUGUCCUCCUUAUUAGAAAGCUCUCUAUUGAAAUUAUUGCCACAACACGUAAUUUGAAAUACUCAAUUGUUAUAUGAUUUUAGAUGUGAGAAGCAAAGUUGAAGAGAAAAUUUUCAAAGAUCAAAAGGCAAGUUUUCCUUUAUUUCUCAAACAUAUGUAAAAUAUAGAGAAAAGAACAGAGCAAUUUUUUUUUUACCAUGAAAAUUACUGAUAUUAUGGUUUGUGAGGCAUAAUUAUGUCAGUUUGGACUUUGGAGAGCUCUGUUUUCUCAUUAAUUGCAGCUAACUUAAAGAGUUAUUUUAAACUUCUAGUGCCAUCCAAGCCAAAAACUAGGAUCAGUUAAAACACAGAGAGAAAAAAAAUGGAAAAAUGAAACCGAUCAAGUGGUGGGAACUUUUCCUCAAAAUGUUUCACUAAGUGUUGCAAAGAUGAAAUCUCUAUCAAAUUUACACUAUCAUUGUUGAAUUUAAAUAUUAAAAAUAACUUUCUAUGAUAGUUUAAGUUUUUGACUAAUAACAGUUCUUUGAUAUAAUUUAAUAUCGUAUCAAAGCUAUAAAUUCUUAUUUAUUAUUUUUUUUUGGAGAAAAAAGUAGCACGCUAUCCGUUUCAUUCAUUGGAAUAGUAAAUUACGCAAUUUGGAUAAGGUAACACUGGCCUCGAAUGGGGCGAAAAAAAAUACAUAUUUAAUUUAAGCUCACGUUUUGAAAUACUCAAAAAAUUUCAAGCUUAGAUGUCAAAAAUA